ACCGGAAGUCCUAUGAUUUUGUUUUUUAAUCAACUCUGCUAUUUGCUUGCUUUUGGUGGUUGAGUUCAUCCCAUUCACUUUCAGAGUUAUAAUUACCCCCUGUGGAUUCCCCAACAUUUUGAUUUCCUGUCCUAGUCCUGUCAUUUUUCUUUCACUAUUCCCUUCUAUACCAGUGUUAUUGUUUUUAUUCAGUUACCCCAAUUCCAAACAUCAUUUUACUUCCCUUUCUCCCUCCCUUCUUAUUCCCUUCUUAUAUUCUUUAUGGUCUUUUAAAAUACCCCCUACCCUUUCCCUCCCUUGUAUUGCUUCCCUCCCCCACCAGUUCAUUUGUUACCCUUCUACUUCUCUAUAGGGCACAUAUCAAUUAUCUGCCCCAGUGGAUCUGAUUUUUCUUCCUUCUUAGAGUCAAUUUAAAUGCAUGUAAGAAUUAAGUAUUUACUUUCUCCAACCUCUUUACCCUUCCAGUGUAUUGGUAGUCUCCCCUGCGCCCACCAUGUACUUCUUUAUGAAAUGUAAAUUUACCCCAUUUUGUCUCUUUUCCCAUUUCUUUUAAUACUAACAUUUUUAACCUCUAGUUUUAUAUAUAUUUAUACCUACAUACCUAUAUAUGCAUAUCUUGACAUUUCGUCCUAUACAGUUUGUCACUCUUCCUUCUCAGUAUAAUUCUUGUAUCUAUCCAGGUGAUAAUAAUUUUUUUGACUCCAAGACAUUUAUUUAUUCAUUGAAAAUUUUAUUUAGUCAAUUUACAACAUUAUUCCUUGAUUACAGGAAUCACAUUCCAUCCUUCCCUCCCCUCCCCCACCCCUUCCUGUAGCUGACCUGUAAUUCCAUUGGGUUUCACAAGCUUCCUUGAUCAGAACAUAUUUCAUUGUUGUUGAUGUUUGCACUAGGAUGUUCAUUUAGAGUCUAUAUCCCCAAUUGUAUCCUCCUCAACCCAAGUAAUCAAGUAGUUGUUUUUCUUCUGUUUUUCAAUUCCCACAGUUUUUUCUCUGGAUUUGGUUUAGUGUUCAUUCUAAUUGGGUACAAUGUUCUCCUGAUUCUGCUCCUUUCACUCUGCAUCAAUUCGUGGAGGUCAUUCCAGUUUACAUGGAAUUAUUCCACUUUAUUACUCCUUUGAGCACAAUAGUAUUCCAUCACCAAUAUAUACCACAAUUUGUUAAGCCAUUCCACAAUUGAAGGACAACCCAUCAUUUUCCAAUUUUUUGCCACCACAAAGAGCACAGCUACAAAUAUUCUUUUACAUGUCUUUUUCCUUAUUAUCUCUUUGGGGUACAAACCCAGCAGUUCUGUGGAUGGAUCAAAGGGCAGACAGUCUCUUAGUGCCCUUUGGGCAUAGUUCCAAAUUGCCCUCCAGAAUGGUUGGAUUAAUUUACAAUUCCACCAGCAGUGCAUUAAUGGACUGACUUUGCCACAUCCCCUUCAGCAUUCAUUUCUUCCCGUUGCUGUCAUGUUAGCCAACAACCUCAGAGUUGUUUUGAUUUGCAUCUCUCUGAUUAUAAGAGAUUUAGAACACUUUUUCAUGUGCUUAUUAAUAAUUUUGAUUUCUUUAACUGAAAAUUGCCUAUUCAUGUCCCUUGCCCAUUUAUCAACCAGAGAAUGGCUUGAUUUUUUGUAUAAUUGAUUUACCUCUUUAUAAAACUGAAUAAUUAGACCUUUGUCAGAGGUUUUUGUUACGAAGAUUGUUUCCCAAUUUGUUGCUUCCUUUCUAAUUUUGGUUACAUUGGUUUUGUUUGUACAAACCUUUUUAAUCUGAUGUAACCAAAAAUAUUCAUUUUACAUUUUGUGACUCUUUUUAAGUCUUGUUUGGUUUUUAAAAUCGUUCCUGUCCCAAAGAUCUGACAUGUAUACCAUUCUGUGUUCACCUAAUUUAUUUAUAGUAUCCUUCUUUAUAUUCAAUUCAUUCACCCAUUCUAAGUUUAUCUUGGUGUAGGGUGUGAGAUGUUGAUCCAAACCUAAUCUCUCCCAUGCUGUCUUCCAAUUUUCCCAGCAGUUUUUAUCUAAUAGUGGAUUUUGGUCCCAAAAGCUGGGAUCUUUGGGCUUGUCAUAGACAGUCUUGCUGAGGUCGGUUACCCCAUGUCUAUUCCACUGGUCUUCCUGUCUGUCUCUUAGCUAGUUCCAAAUUGUUCUUAUAAUCACUGCUAUAUAGUAUAGUUUGAUAUCUGGGACUGUAAGUCCACAUUCCUUUACAUUUUUUUUUCAUUAUUUCCCUAGAUAUCCUUGCUCUUUUGUUCUUCCAAAUGAACUUUGUUAGGGUUUUUUUCUAAUUCAGUAAUAAAGUUUUUUGGUAGUUCAAUGGGUUUGGUACUAAAUAAGUAAAUACAUUUGGGUAGGAUGGUCAUUUUUAUGACGUUAGCUCAUUCUACCCAUGAGCAAUUAAUGUUUUUCCAAUUGUCUAGAACUAGAUUUUUUUAAACAUUAUUUUAUUUGGACAUUUCCAAAUAUUAUUCAUUAAAGACAAAGGUAAUUUUCUUUUCCUCCCCUCCUCCCCCCACCUCUCCCGUAGCUGAUGUGCAAUUCCACUGGAUAUCACAUGUGUUCUUGAUUCCAGCCCAUUUCCAUGUUGUUGGUAUUUGCAUUAGAGUGUUCAUUUAGAGUCUCUCCUCAGACAUGUCCCCUAUACCCCUGUAGUCAAGCAGUUUCUUUUCCUUGGUGUUUUUACUCCCACAUUUUGUCCUCUGCUUGUGGAUAGUGUUUUUUAUCCUACAUCCCUGCAGAUUGUUUAGAGACAUUGCAUUGCCACUAAUGGAGAAGUCCAUCAUGUUCGAUUGUACCACAGUGUGUCAGUCUCUGUGUACAGUGUUUUCCAGGUUCUGCUCCUUUCGCUCUGCAUCACUUCCUGGAGGUUGUUCCAGUCUCCAUGUCAUUCUUCCACUUUAUUAUUCCUUUUAGCGCAAUAGUAUUCCAUCACCAAUGUAUACCACAAUUUGUUCAGACAUUCUCCAAUUGAAGGGCAUCCCCUCAUUUUCCAAUUUUUUGGCCACCACAAAGAGUGCAGCUAUGAAUAUUCUUGUACAAGAAGUCUUUUUCCUUAUUUUCUCCUUGGGGUACAAACCCAGCAUUGCUAUGGCUGGAUCAAAGGGGAGACAGUCUUUUAUCGUCCUUUGGGCAGAGUUCCAAAUUGUCCUCCAGAAUGGUUGGAUCAAUUCACAUCCCCACCAGCAAUAAACUAAUGUCCUGACUUUGACACAUCCCCUACAGCAUUCAUUAUUUUCCGUUGCUGUCAUGUUAGCCCAUCUGCUAGGUGUGAGGUGAUACCUCAGAGUUGUUUUGAUUUGCAUCUCUCUGAUUAUAAGAGAUUUAGAACACUUUUUCAUGUGCUUAUUAAUAGUUUUGAUUUCUUUGACUGAAAAUAGCCUAUUCAUGUCCCUUGCCCAUUUAUCAAUUGGAAAAUGGCUUGAUUUUUUGUACAAUUGAUUUAGCUUUUUGUAAAUUUGAGUAAUUAGACCUAUGUCAGAGGUUUUUAUGAAGAUUGUUUCCCAAUUUGUUGCUUCCCUUCUGAUUUUAUUUACAUUGGUUUGUUUGUACAAACCUUUUUAAUAUGAUGUAGUCAAAAUUAAUUAUUUUAUAUUUUGUGACUCUAAGUCUUGCUUGGUUUUAAAGUCUUUCCCUUCCCAAAGAUCUGACAUGUAUACUAUUCUGUGUUCACCUAAUUUACUUAUAGUUUCCUUCUUUAUAUUCAAGUCAUUCACCCAUUUUGAAUUUAUCUUGGUGUUGGGUAUGAAGGGUUGAUCCAAACCUAAUCUCUCCCAUACUGUCUUCCAAUUUUCCCAUUAGUUUUUAUCAAAUAGUGGAUUUUUGUCCCAGAAGCCGGGAUUUGGGGUUUAUCAUAUACUUUCUUGCUGAGGUCACUUUCCCCAAGUCUAUUCCACUGUUCUUCCUUUCUGUCUCUUAGAGAGUACCAAAUUGUUUUUAUGACUGCUGCUUUAUAAUAUAGUUCGAGAUCUGGGACUGCAAGGCCCCCUUCCAUUGUACUGUUUUUUCAUGAUUUCCCUGGAUAUCCUUGAUCCUUUGUUCUUCCAAAUGAACUUUCUUAUGGUUUUUUCUAAAUCAGUAAAAAACACAUUUUGGAAGUUCAGUGGGUAUGGCACUAAAUAGAUAAAUAAGUUUGGGUAGGAUGUUCAUUUUUAUUAUAUUGGCUUGUCCUACCCAUGAGCUUUUAAUGUUUUUCCAGUUGCUCAAGUCUAGUUUUAUUUGUGUGGAGAGUGUUUUGUAGUUGUGUUCAUAUAAUUCCGGUGUUUGUCUCAGGAGAUAGAUUCCUAAGUAUUUUAUUUUGUCUAAGGUGAUUUUGAAUGGGAUUUCUCUUUCUAGUUAUUGCUGCUGAGCUGUGUUGAAAAUAUAUAGAAAUUCUGAUGACUUAUGCGGGUUUAUUUUGUAUCCUGCAACUUUGCAAAAGUUGUUGAUUAUUUCAAUUAGCUUUUUGGUUGAAUCUCUAGGAUUCUUUAAGUAGACCAUCACAUCAUCCACAAAGAGCAAUAACUUGGUCUCCUCUUUGCCUAUUUUAAUGCCUUCAAUUUCUUUUUCUUCUCUAAUUGCUACUGUUGUUUCUAGUACAAUGUCAAAUAGUAGAGGUGAUAAUGGGAAUCCUUGUUUCAUGCCUGAUCUUAUUGGGAAUGCAUCUAGUUUAUCCCCAUUGCAGAUGAUGUUAGCUGAUGGUUUUAGAUAUAUACUGUUUAUUAUUUUUAGGAAUGACCCUUCUAUUCCUAUGCUUUCUAGUGUUUUUAAUAGGAAUGGGUAUUGUAUUUUAUCAAAGGAUUUUUCUGUGUCUAUUGAAGUAAUCAUGUGAUUUUUGUUGGUUUGCUUGUUGAUAUGGUCAAUUAUGUGGAUGGUUUUCCUAAUAUUGAACCAGCCCUGCAUCCCUGGUAUAAAUCCUACUUGAUAAUGGUGAAUGACCCUUCUGAUCACUUGCUGGAGUCUUUUUGCUAGUAUCUUAUUUAAGAUUUUUGCCUCUAUAUUCAUUAGGGAGAUUGGUCUAUAAUUUUCUUUCUCUGUUUUUGACCUGCCUGGCUUUGGAAUCAGUAUCAUGUUUGUGUCCUAAAGAAUUUGGUAGAACUCCCUCUUUGGUUAUUAUGUUAAAUAGUUUGCAUAGUAUUGGGAUUAGCUGUUCUUUGAAUCUUUGAUAGAAUUCACUUGUGAAUCCAUCAGGCCCUGGGGAUUUUUUCUUAGGGAGUUCUUUGAUGGCCUGUUGGAUUUCAUUUUCUGAUAUGGGAUUAUUUAAGAAUUCUAUUACUUCUUCCAUUAGACUAGGCAGUUUAUAUUUUUUUAAAUAUUCAUCCAUAUCGCAUAGAUUUGUAUAUUUAUUGCCAUAUAAUUAGGCAAAGUAAUUGUUAAUGAUUGCCUUAAUUUCCUCUUCAUUGGAGGUGAUAUCCCUAUUCAUUGGAGUUGAUAUCCCCCUUCUCAUCUUUGAUGCUGUUAAUUUGCUUUUCUUCUUUCCUUUUUUUAAUUAGAUUGACCAGUACUUUGUCUAUUUUGUUUGUUUUUUCAAAGUACCAGCUUCUAGUCUUAUUUAUUAGUUCAAUAAUUCUAUCACUUUCGAUUUUAUUAAUUUCUCCCUUAAUUUUUAGAAUCUCUAGUAUGGUUUUCUUCUGGGGGGUUUUAAUUUGUUUGCUUUCAAAUUUCUUUAGUUGCAUUUCCAAUUCAUUGAUCUCUACCCUCCCUUGUUUGUUAAUAUAUGCACUGCAGGAUAUGAAUUUUCCUCUGAUUACUGCUUUGGCUGCAUCCCAUAAGGUUUGAAAGGAUGUCUCACCAUUGUUACUUUCCUCAAUGAAAUUAUUAAUCAUUUCUAUGAUUUGUUCUCUAACCGAUUUUGGAGUAUCAUAUUAUUUAAUUUCCAAUUAAUUUUUGAUUUGGUUUUCCAUGUACCCUUACCUAUCAUUAUUUUUAUUGCCCUAUGAUCUGAAAAGGCAGCAUUUAUUAUUUCUGCUUUUCUGCAUUUGUAUGCAUUUUUCUGUGACCUAGUGUAUGUCAAUCUUUGUGAAUGUGCCAUGUGGUGCUGAGAAGAAGGUGUAUUCCUUUUUGUCCCUAUUUAUUUUUCUCCAUAUGUCUAUGAACUCUAAUUUUUCUAAGAUUUCAUUCACUUCUUUUACCUCUUUCUUAUUUAUUUUUUAUUUGCUUUAUCUAAAUUUGAUAGUGGUUGGUUCAAAUCUCCCACUAAUAUGGUUUUACUGUCUAUUUCCUGCUUCAGUUCUCCUAGUUUCUCCAUUAGAAAUUUGGGUGCUCCUCACACCCUACACCAAGAUAAAUUCAAAAUUUGUGAAUGACUUGAACAUAAAGAAGGAAACUAUAAGAAAAUUAGGCAAACACAGAAUAGUAUACAUGUCAGACCUUUGGGAAGGGAAAGAUUUUUAAACCAAGCAAGACUUAGAGUCACAAAAUGCAAAAUAAAUAAUUUUGACUAUAUCAAAUUAAAAAGUUUUGUACAAACAAAACCAAUGGAACCAAAAUCAGAAGGAAAGCAACAAAUUGGGAAACAAUCUUCAAAAAACCUUUGACAAAGGUUUAAUUACUCAAAUUUACAAAGAGCUAAAUCAAUUAUACAAAAAAUCAAGCCAUUCUCCAAUUGAUAAAUGGGCAUGGGACAUGAAUAGGCAGUUUUCAGAUAAAGAAAUCAAAACUAUUAAUAGGCACAUGAGAAAGUGUUCUCAAUCUCUUAUAAUCAGAGAGAUGCAAAUUAAAACAACUCUGGUGUAUCAUCUCACACCUAGCAGAUUGGCUAACAUGACAGCAAAGAAAAGUAAUGAAUGCUGGAACGGAUGUGUCAAAGUAGGGACAUUAAUUCAUUGCUGGUGGGGUUGUGUACUGAUCCAACCAUUCUGGAGGGCAAUUUGGAACUAUGGCCAAAGGGCAAUAAAAGACUGUCUACCCUUCGAUCCAGUCAUAGCACUGCUGGGUUUGUACCCCAAAGAGAAAAUAAGAAAAAAGACUUGUAUAAGAAUAUUCAUAGCUGUGCUCUUUGUGGUGGCCAAAAAUUGGAAAAUGAGGGGAUGCCCUUCAGUUGGAGAAUGGCUGAACAAAUUGUGGUAUACAUUGGUGAUGGAAUACUAUUGUGCUAAAAGGAAUAAUAAAGUGGAGGAAUUCCAUGGAGACUGGAACAACCUCCAGGAAGUGAUGCAGAGCGAAAGGAGCAGAACCAGGAAAACACUGUACACAGAGACUGACACACUGUGGUACAAUCAAACGUAAUGGACUUCUACAUUAGUGUCAAUGCAAUGUCCCUGAACAAUCUGCAGGGAUCUAGGAGGAAAAAACACUAUCCACAAGCAGAGGAUAAACUGUAGGAGUAAAAACACCGAGGAAAAGUUAUUGCUUGACUACAGGGGUAGAGGGGACAUGUCUGAGGAGAGACUCUAAAUGAACACUCUAAUGCAAAUACUAACAACAGGGAAAUGGGUUCGAAUCAAGAAAACUUGUGAUACCCAGUGGAAUUGUGCAUCACCUAUGGGAUAGGUGGGGGAGAGGGCGAGAAAAUGAUCUUUGUUUCCAAUGAAUAAUUCUCGGAAAUGACCAAAUAAAAUUUUAUUUUAGAAAAAGAAAUAAAUUUGGGUGCUAUUCUAUUUGGUGCAUACAUGUUGAUGAGUAAUAUUUCCUCAUUAUCUAUAGUCCCUUUUAACAAAAUAUAUUUACCUUCCCUAUCCCUUUUAAUCAGGUCUAUUUUUGCUUUGGCUUUGUCAGAUAUCAUGAUUGCGACUCCUGCCUUCUUUAUAUCAGUUGAGGCCCAGAAGAUCUUACUCCAUCCUUUAAUUCUGACCUUGUGAGUGUCUACCUGCCUCAUGUGUGUUUCUUGAAGACACCAUAUGGUGGGGUUUGGGAUUAUAAUUCAUUCUGCUAUUUGUCUAUGUUUUAUGGGUGAGUUCAUCCCAUUCAUGUUCAAAGUUAUGAUUUUCACUUGUGGACUCCCUGGCAUUUUGAUAUCCUCCCCUAAUUCUGACCUUGCUUCUUUAGCUAUAACCUUUUAAGCCAGUGAUUUACUUUAAAUCAAUCCCCCUAGUCCCCUCCCUUCAUAUGUUUUUCUUUCUAGCCCCUCCCUUUUUGUUCACUUCCACUCCCCCUUUCCUUCAUUCCCUUUUUGUGUUCCUACCCCCUUGGUUUUCCCUUCUCCCUUACCCUUUGGAUACGAUAAAAUUCAAGAUCCCAAUGGAUCUGGAUGUUCUGCCCUCUCAGAGUUGAUUUCACUGAGAGUAAGUUUUAUGUAAUAACUCUCUUCCUCUCCUUCUUAUAGGAGAAUUCUUCCUAUCCCCUUCCCAUGUGUAUCUUUGUAUGAGAAAGAUUAUUCUAUUUAGUUUUUUCCCUAUUUCUUGGAGUAUAUCUUAGUACCAUCAAAGAUUCCCCCCUCCCUUUUUGUUUCUAUCCCCCCUUUCUCCAUAUUAUCUUGACGCCCCAAACUUUCCCUAUGUGUGAUUCUUCUUACUACUCUAAUGAUGCAUACAAUUUUUGAGAGUUACACAUUACAUUUCCCCCCCAUAUUAAUACAUAUAAAUUGAUAUAAAUGUAGUCCUUAUAGAAGAGAGUUUGAAUAAAAGAAAAAAAAUAACAUUUUUCUCCUUUCCCUUUCCUUCAUAUUUACCUUUUCAUGUUUCUCUUGCUCUUUGUGUUUGGAUGUCAAACUUUCCACAGAGCUCUGUUCUUUUCUUUACAAACACUUGGAAAUCUUGUAUUUUGUUGAAUGCCCAUACUUUCCCCUGGAAUUAUAUAGUCAGUUUUGAUGGAUAGCUGAUUCUUGGUUGAAGACCCAGCUCUCUUGCUUUUCUGAAUAUCAUGUUCCAUGCCUUAAUGUCGUUCAGUGUGGAAAUUUCUAGGUCCUGUGUGACCCUGAUUGGUGUUCCUUUAUAUCUACGUUUUCUUUUUCUGGCUUCUUGUAAGAUUUUUUCUUUUGCUUGGAAGCUUUGAAAUUUGGCAUUUACAUUCCUGGGAGUUGUCUUUUGGGGAUUUAGUGUAGAGGGUGUUCUAUGAACUCUUUCAAUGCAUAUUUUGUCCCCUUGUUCUAGAAUCUCUGGGCAGUUUUCUUUGAUGAUAUCUUGUAUUAUGAUAUCAAGAUUACUGUUUAUUUCUGGCUUUUCUGGUAGACCAAUGAUUCUCAGAUUGUCUCCCUUUCCUCUGUUUUCCAGGUCUGUCACCUUGUCAGUGAGAUAUUUUAUGUUAUCUUCUAAUUCUUUAUUCUUUUGACUUUGCUUUAUUAAUUCUUGUUUUUUUUGCAAGAUCAUUGUUUUCCAGUUGCUUGAUUGUGACCUUUAAAGACUGGUUUUUUUUUUUCAGUUUGGUCUUACCUGUUUUUUGAGAAUUUGAGCUGUUUCUGCAUUUGUAUAUUUUGUUCUCUCAGAUUACUGAGUUCCUUUUGCAUUGUUUCCCAUUUUUCCUGCCAUAAGGCUCCCAUCUUUUUGAUAAUUUCCGAUUUAAAUUCUUCAAGAGUUUGUGGAGAAUUUCCACUUCCUUUGGAAGGUUUUGGAGCAUUUGUUUGUGUUUCCUCUUCUAUCUCCUCUUUAUUUUCUAUGUUUGCUCCAUAAAAUGUGUCCAAAGUCACCCCCUUCUUCUUGCUUUUCUUGGUGUUUGGAGGCUUUUGCACUUCUGUACUGUUUGCCAUCUCUGUGUUUUUUCUUCCCCUUUCCAGUCAGAAAUCUGAGUGAGGAGGACUGCCUCUUAGUGUAUCUGUCUGAUGGUCCGAGGCUUUAGCCCCAGGCAGAAUGUCCAUUCUCCGCAGUUGCGCUGUCUUCCUAGGGAAGCUCAGGGUCUGUCCUCCCCUGUCUGCCGGCUUUUCGGGUGUUACUGCUCUCAGUUCCCUCCAGUUGCUUCUCCACUGCCUUACUUCUAUGCUCUGAGCCUGGCACAGCACUGUCCACAAGGUACCUCAGGGCCUUUGCUGGCCCUGAGGUUCCUGUCCUUUCAGAGGGCCCUGCACUCUACGGGGGGAGGGGUCCUGGCCUCCCUGAGCUCUGAGGAUUCCUGAUGGGAUUAGGUUCAGCUGGGUUGAUCUGGAUGUGCCCCGAGGCAAAAAACUCCAGUGAGACUCUGAUGGAAUGACCCAUCCAGGGGGCUACAGGCUCCUCCCGUCUCUCUCAGACUGCUUCCCUGCCUUCUGUGUUGGACGCCCCGAGAUUGGCCCAGAUUACUUUCAACGUGCGCCCUUCAGAACAGCCAUCCCUGAGACCCAUUUUCCGGCCCUGAGGUUCCCGCUGCUGCUGCUGUGGGCUCAGAGCUCUGGGUUGGGAGGGAGGGGUCCUGGGUCCUUCCUUCUGCCUUCCCCUUAGACACGAGUGAUCUAGAAUUCUGGCUUUUGAGGGGGCAUACCUUUUGACUUGAGUCCAAAAGGAGGGUUCCCCGACUCCGUCCUGUUGUUAAGAUUGAAUUUCAGUCCCCUAGGAGCAUUCACUUUGUGAUCAGUAAGGAAAGGUUUUCAGAGGUCUGAACUUUUGCUGCUUCUAAGCCACCAUCUUGACUGGAAGUCCUUAGACUAGUUUUUUAUUUUAUGGAAAGUGUGUUGUAAUUGUGUUCAUAUAGUUGCUGUGUUUGUCUUGGCAGAUAGAUUUCUAAGUAUUUCAUGAUUUUUUUUUCUUCUCUAAUUGCUACUGGUAGUUUUUCUAGUACAAUGUUGAAUAAUAGAGGUGAUAAUGGGCAUCCUUGUUUCACUCCUGAUCUUAUUGGGAAUGCUUCUAGUUUAUCCCCAUUGCAGAUGAUGUUUGCUGAUGGUUUUAGAAAUAUACUGUUUAUUAUUUUUAGGAAAGUCCCUUCUAUUCCUAUGCUUUCUAGUGUUUUCAAUAGAAAUGGGUAUUGAAUUUUAUCAAAGGCUUUUUCUGCAUCUAUUGAGAUAAUCAUGUGAUUUUUGUUGGUUUGCUUGUUGAUAUGGUCAAUUAUGUGGAUGGUAUUCCUAAUACUGAAACGUCCUUGAAUUUCUGGAAUAAAUCCUACCGGGUCAAAAUGAACAAUACUCAUGAUCACUUGCUAGAGUAUUUUUACUGGUAUUCUAUUUAAGAUUUUUGUAUCUAUGUUCAUUAAGGAGAUUGGUCUUUAGUUUUCUUUCUCUCUUUUUGACGUGCUUUGCUUUGGAAUCAGUAUCAUAUUUGUGUGAUAAAAGGAAUUUAGUAGAAAUUUUUCUUUGCUUAUUCUGUCAAGUAGUUUGUAUAAUAUUGGGAUUAGUUGUUCUUUGAAUGUUUUUUAUAUUUUAUUUGUGACUCCUUCUGGUCUUGGGGAUUUUUUCUUAGAGAGUUAUUUGAUGGUUUGUUCAAUUUCUUUUUCUGAUAUGGGGUUGUUUAGGUUUUCUGUUUCUUCCUCUGUUAAUCUAGGCAAUUUAUAUUUUUGUAAAUUUUUAUCCAUAUCACCUAGAUUGCCAUAUUUACUGCCAUAUAAUUGGGCAUAAUAGUUUUUAAUGAUUGCCUUAAUUUCCUCUUCAUUAGAAGUGAUGUCUCUCUUUUCAUCUUGGAUACUGUCAAUUUGGUUUUCUUCUUUCCUUUUUUAAGUACCAGCUUCUAGUCUUAUUGAUUAAUUCAAUAGUUCUUUCACUUUCAGUUUUAUUAAUUUCUCCUUUGAUUUUUAGGAUCUCUUAUUUAGUCUUCAUCUGAGGAUUUUUAAUUUGUUCACUUUCUAGUUUUUUUAAUUUGAAUGCCGAAUUCAUUGACCUCUCCCCUCCCUAAUUUGUUAAUAUAUGAAUUCAGGGAUAUAAAUUUUCCCCUGAGUACUGUUUUGGCUGUAUCCCAUUGAUUUUGAAAGGAUGUCUCAUCAUUGUAAUGGUCUUCAAUGAAAUUAAUUGUUUCUAUGAUUUUUAUUUAACUGAUUUUGGAGAAUCGUAUUAUUUAAUUUUUAAUUAUCUUUUUUAUUUUCUCCUCCAUGCACCCUUACUAAUUAUUAUUUUCAUUGCAUCGUGAUAUGAGAAGGUUACAUUUAUUAUUUCUUCUCUUUUGCACUUGUUUGUUGAGUUUUUAGGCCCUAGUACAUGGUCCAUCUUUGUGAAUUCACCAUGUGCUACUACAGAGAAGGUGUAUUCCUUUUUUUCCCUAUUUAUUUUUUUCUACUUAUGUACUAACUCUAAUUUUUCUAAGAUUUCCUUCACUUCUCUUACCUCUUUCUUAUUUAUUUUUUUGGUUUGAUUCAUCUGGUUCUGAUAGAGGAAGUUUCUGGUCUCCAACUAGUUUAGUUUUUCUGUCUGUUGCAUCCUUGAGCUCCACUAGUUUUUCUUUAGAAAUUUGGAUGCUAUGCCAUUUGGUGCAUACAUGUUGAGUACUGCUAUUUCCUUAUUUUCUAUUCUCCCUUUUAUCAGGAUGUAAUUUACCUUCCCUAUCUCUUUUGACUCAAUCUAUUUUUUACUUUGGCUUUGUCAGAUAUCAUGAUUGUGACUCUUGCUUUUGUUUUACCAGUUGAUACCAAAUAGUUUUCCUCCACCUGCUUACUUUUACCCUAUGUGUGUCUACCUUCCUCAUGUGUGUUUCUUGUAGACAGAAUAUUGUAGGGUUUUGGAUUCUAAUCCACUCUGCUAUUCACUUGCAUUUUGUGGGUGAGUUCAUUCUAUUCACAUUCAGAAUUAUGAUUACCAGCUCUGUAUUGCCCAGCAUUUUGAUUUCUACUCUUCCUUCUUUCACUAUUUCCUGCUCUACCAGUGUUUUGUUUUUAAUCAGUCCCCCUAAUUCCCAACCUUUUCUACCACCACUCCCUUCUUAUUCCCCUCUUAUUUUCUUUACAAUCUUUUUAAACUACCCCCAUCCUCGCCCUCCCUUGUACCAGUCCAUUUGUUACCCUUCUACUUCUCUAUAGUGCGCAAAUCAAUUCUCUGCCCCAUUAUAUUUAAUUGUUCUUCCCUCUUAAUUUCAAUGUGUGUACGAAUUGAAUAUUUCCUGUCUCCAACUUCUUUACCCUUACAGUAUAUUGAUGUUCUCCACCCCCCCCAACAUGAACUUCUUUGUGACGUAUAAAUUUACCACAUUUUGUUUCUUUUCCCAUUUCUCUUGGUAUUAACCUCUUUUUUAACUCUAGUUGUAUAUAUAUACAUAUUUAUAUAUACAUAUAUAUAUACAUAUUUAUGUUUUGCCAUUUCAUCCUAUACAGUUUGUUGCUGUUCCCUGUAAGUAUAAUUCUUCUAGCUACCCAGCUGAUAACAAUUUUAUCCCUUCUUUGCUCCCCGUAUUUGGCUGUGCUCUUGCUCCUCUCAUUUUGUUUUGGUUUUGGGGCUGUCAGUCUCCCCUCUUGGAGCUUUGUCAGAUCUCUUGGUACAGUCUCUAGGGGAGGAAAGUUAGCCUCCCUGUCCUCUGGAGGCUUUUGAUUGGAUUGAGUUCACUUGGGUUGGGCUGUAUGUGGUAUGAAGCACUGAGGCUCUGAAGACUCCUGGAAGGCUGGGCCGCCCAGGCUCUCUCCAGUUCUCUCCAGUUCUCUCCAGCUGCUUCUCCGUGGUCCGCAAGUGCCUAUGCCUGCCUCCCUAAACUCUGAGGAGUUCUGAUGGGAUUAGUUCAACUGGAUUGGUCUGGAUGUGCCUGAGGCAAGGGUGAGACUGGAGCCCAAUGGAGGGACCCAGCCACCGCCUGUUUCUCCCUGACUUCCUCCCCUCUGUCCAAGCUGGAUGCUCCGAGCCCGGCUCCCCGCUGCUCACAAGGUAGACCCUGAAAACCAGCACCUUUGCCUGCUCAGAGGUUCCCACUGCUGCUGGGGGCUCAGCCCUCCGGGUUGUGGGGGAGGGGUCCUGGGACCUUUGCUCUGCCUUCCCCUUAGCCCUGAGUAUUCUCGGAUUCCAGCUUUUGGGGGGGGCGUACCUUUUGAUUUGAGUCCAGAAGGAGGGUUCCCCUCUUCUGUCCUGUUGUUCAGAUUGAAUUUCGGUGCCCUAGGAGCAUUCAGUCUGUAUCGGUAAGGAAGGGUCUUCCACGAGGUCUGAACUUUUGCUGCUUGCUAAGCUGCCAUCUUCAGGUGAUAACAACUUUAAAGAGUUACCAAUAUCCUCUUUUCUUGUAGGAAUACAAAUCAUUCUAACUUAUUGGGUCCCUUUUAAAAAGUUUUUUGUUUGUUUUUUUCCCCUUUCUUAGUUACCUUUUGGUGAUUCUCUUGAUUUCUGUGUCUGGGCUUCAAAUUUUAUGUUCAAGUCUGGUCUGUUCUUUAGGAAUGCUUAAAAGUCUUCUAUUUUAUUAAAUGACCAUACUUUCCCCUGCAAGAAUAUAGUCAGUUUUGCUGGGUACUUGAUUCUUGGUUGUUGAUCUAGUUUCCUUGCUUUCUGGAAUGUCAUAUUUCAUGCCUUUCGGUCCUUCAGUCUAAAUGUAGCCAGAUCCUAUGAUAUCCUCACUGUGGUCCCAUGGUAUCUGAAUGACUUCUUCUUAGCAGCUUUUAAUAAUUUUUCCUUAGGCUGGUAGUUCUUGAAUUUGACUAUAAUAUUCCUGGUCAUUGCCAAUUCAGAAUGAAAUAUAGAUCACUAUGGAUUCUUAUAUCUCCACUUUUCCCUCUUGCUCAAGAAUGUUGGAGCAGUUUUCUUGGAUAAUUUCCUGUAGAAAGAUGUCCAGGUUUUUCCUGUUGUCAUGUUCUUCUGGUAGUCCAAUAAUUCUUAAAUUAUCUCUCCUGGCUCUGCUUUCAAGACUUCUCUUUUUGUGAAUGGGUUGUUUCAUAUUUUCCUCAAUUUUUUCAUUCUUUUGAUUUUGUUUUAUAGAUUCUUGUUGCCUUGUGUAGUCAUUUCUUCUAGUUGUUGGAUUCUAGUUUUUAAAGACUGAAUUUCAUCCCUGACUUUUUGAUUAUUGUGCUCCUUCUGAUCUUUCAUCUUCUUUGCCUCAUUUUCAAGAUGGUUGAUUUUGGAUUUCAAGACAUUGCUUCCUCAUUUUAGUUCAAGUGCCUCUGUUUCAAGAUGAUUUAUCUUGCUUUUAAAUUUAUUUUCUAAAUUGUCUUUAGCCCUCUCUUAAUUGUUUUUUGAAUUGUAGUUUGAGUUCUUCCAAAGCUUGGGCCCACCUCGCUGGAGUUUCUGUGUUUUUGCUUGGGGUUGCUUGGUCCUCCUCUGCUCCAUUUGUUCUUUGUUUUUGUUUUUUGUUUUUUUACUUUUAAACAUUAUUUUAUUUGGUCAUUUUCAAACAUUAUUCAUUAGAAACAAAGAUCAUUUUCUUUUCCUCCCCCCCUCUCCGCUCCCGCCACCCCUCCCAUAGCCAAUGCGCGAUUCCACUGGAUAUCACAUGUAUCCUUGCUCCGAACCCAUUUGCAUGUUGUUGGUAUUUGCAUUAGGGUGCUCAUUUAGAGUCUCUCCUCAUUGAUAUCCCCUCCACCCCUGUAGUCAAGCAGUUGCCUUUCCUCGGUGUUUUUACUCCCACAGUUUAUCCUCUGCUUGAAGAUAGUGUUUUUUCUCCUAGAUCCCUGCAGAUUGUUCAGGGACAUUGCAUUGACACUAAUGGAGAAGCCCAUUAUGUUCGAUUGUGCCACAGUGUUUCAGUCUCUGUGUAUAAUGUUCUCCUGGCUCUGCUUCUUUCACUCUGCAUCACUUCCUGGAGGUCGUUCCAGUCUCCAUGGAAUUCCUCCACUUUAUUAUUCCUUUUAGCACAAUACUAUUCCAUCACCAACAGAUACCAGUUUGUUCAGCCAUUCCCUAAUUGAAGGGCAUCCCCUCAUUUUCCAAUUUUUUGCCACCACAAAGAGCGUAGCUAUGAAUAUUCUUGUACAAGUCUUUUUCCUUAUUAUCUCUUUGGAGUACAAACCCAGCAGUGCUAUGGCUGGAUCGAAGGGCAGAGAGUCUUUUAUUGCCCUUUGGCCAUAGUUCCAAAUUGCCCUCCAGAAUGGUUGGAUCAGUUCACAACCCCACCAGCAGUGGAUUAAUGUCCUGACUUUGACACAUCCCCUACAGCAUUCAUUACUUUCCUUUGCUGUCAUGUUAGCCAAUCUGCUAGGUGUGAGGUGGUACCUCAGAGUUGUUUUGAUUUGCGUCUCUCUGAUUAUAAAGAUUUAGAAGACUUUUUCAUGUGCUUAUUAAUAGUUUUGAUUUCUUUAACUGAAAACUGCCUAUUCAUGUCCCUUGCCCAUUUUUCAAUUGGAGAAUGGCUUGAUUAUUUGUACAACUGGUUUAGCUCUUUAUAAAUUAGUUUAGCUCUUUAUCAAUUUGAGUUAUUAGACCUUUGUCAGAGGUUUUUGUUAUGAAGAUUGUUUCCCAAUUUGUUUCUUCCAUUCUAAUUUUAGUUACAUAGUUUUUGUACAAAACCUUUUUAAUUUGAUGUAGUCAAAAUUAUUUAUUUUACAUUUUUUACUCUUUCUUAGUCUUACUUGGUUUAAAAAUCUUUCCCUUCCCAAAGGUCUGACAUGUAUACUAUUCUGUGUUCACCUAAUUUACUUAUAGUUUCCUUUUUAUGUUCAAGUCAUUCCCCCAUUUUGAAUUUAUCUUGGUAUUGGGUAUGAGGUCGAAACCUAAUCUCUCCCACACUGUCUUCCAAUUUUCACAGCAGUUUUUAUCAAAUAGUGGAUUUUUGUCCCAAAAGCUGGGAUCUUUGUGUUUGUCAUAGACUGUCUUGCUGAGGUCACUUACCCUAAGUCCAUUCCACUGAUCCUCCUUUCUGUCUCUUAGAGAGUACCAAAUUGUUUUGAUGACCACUGCUUUAUAGUGUAGUUUCAGAUCUGGGACUGAAAGUCCCCCUUCCAUUGUACUUUUUUUUUCAUAAUUUCCCUGGAUAUCCUUGAUCCUUUGUUCUUCCAAAUGAACUUUUUUAUGGUUUUUUCUAAUUCAGUAAAAAAGUUUUUUGGAAGUUCAAUGGGUAUGUCACUAAAUAGAUAGAUAAGUUUCAGUAGGAUGGUCAUUUUUAUUAUGUUAGCUCAUCCCACCCACGAGCAAUCAAUGUUUUUCCAAUUGUUUAGGUCAUUUUAAUUGUGUGGAGAGUGUUUUGUAGUUGUGUUCAUAUAGGUCCUAUGUUUGUCUCUGCAGAUAGAUUCCUAAGUAUUUUAUGUUGUCUAGGCUGACUUUAAAUGGAAUUUCUAUUUCUAAUUCUUCCUGCUGAGAUCUGUUGGAAAUAUAUAAAAAUGCUGAUGACUUAUGUGGGUUUAUUUUGUAUAGUAGUUUUGACUAGUACCUUGUCAAUUUUAUUUGGUUUUUCAAAAUACCAGCUUCUAGUCUUAUUUAUUAAAUCAAUAGUUCUUUGACUUUCAAUUUUAUUGAUUUCUCCUUUAAUUUUUAGGAUCUCUAAUUUAGUCUUCAUCUGAGGAUUUUUAAUUCAUUCACUUUCUAGUUUUUUAAUUUGUAUACCCAAUUCAUUGACCUCUGACCUUCUUAAUUUGUUAAUAUAUGAACUCAAGGAUAUAAAUUUUCCCCUGAGUACUGCUUUGGCUGCAUCCCAUAGGUUUUGAAAAGCUGUCUUAUCGUUGUCAUUUUCUUCAAUGAAGUUAUUAAUUGUUUCUACUAUUUGUUAUUUAACUAGCCGGUUUUGGAGGAUCAUAUUGUUUAAUUUCCAAUUAAUUUUUUAUUUACCUCUCCAUGUACCCUUACUAAUUAUUAUUUUUAUUGCAUUGUGGUCUGAGAAGGUUGCAUUUAUUAUUUCUGCUCCUUUUACUUGUUUUCAAUGUUUUUAUGCCCUAGUACAUGGUCAAUUUUUGUGAAUGUAUUUCUUUGUGACAUAUAAAUUUACCCCCAUUUGUUUCUUUUCCUAUUUCUUUUAGUAUUAACAUCUUUUUUUCUCUUGUAUACACACACACAUUUUUGUAUGCAUACAUCUACAUACCUAUUUAUGCCUUGUCCUUUUAUCCCUUACAGUUUGUCACUGUUCCCUCUAAGUGUAAUUCUUCUAGCUACUCAGGUGAUAACAAUAGUUUUUUAGAGUUACCAAUGACUUUUUCUUACAGGGAUACAUAUAAUUUUAACUGAUUGAGUCUCUUAAAUUUUUUGUGUGUUGUUUUGUUUUGUUUUUCUUUUUUCCCUCUUUUUAAAUUACUUUUUGAUGAUUUUCUUGAGUGUUGUGCUUGGACAUCAAAGUUUAUGUUCAGGUCUGGUCUUUACAAAUUCUUCGAAUUCUUCUGUUUUGUUGAAUGACCAUACUUUCUUCUGCAAGAAUAUAGUCAGGUUUGCUGGGUGGUUGAUUCUUGGUUGUAGACCUAGUUCCCUUGCUUUCUGGAAUAUCAUAUUCCUUUCAGUCCUUCAGUGUGGAUGCAGCCUGAUCCUGAGUUAACCUCACCGUGGUUCCAUGGUAUCUGAAUGACUUCUUCUUGGCAGCAUGUAAUAUCCUUUCUUUGGUCUGAUAGUCCUUGAAUUUGGCAAUAACAUUCCUGGGUGUUGUCAAUUGAGGAUUAAGUACAGGAAGUGAUCUGUGGAUUCUUUCAAUCUCCACUUUUCCCUCUUGUUCUAGGAUACUGGGACAGUUUUCUUGAACAAUUUCCUGUAGUAUUAUGUCCGGGCUUUUUCUUUUGUCAUGAUCUUCUGGUAGGCCAAUAAUUCUUAAAUUGUCUUUAUAAUUAUAAUUGACAGCUUCUAUCCAGGCAAUUAACAAAGAGCAAAUGGGUCAAAAUGGCGGCUUGGGAGCAGCAAUAGUUCAGACCUCUGAAUACCCUUCCUUACCAAUCACAAAAUGAACACUCCUAGGGAACUGAAAAUCAAACCUAACAAGAAAACAGAUGCAAGGAACCCUCCUGUGGACUCAAUCCAAAAGGCACACCCCCCCCCCAAAGCCGGAAUCUGAGAAUACUUGGUUUUAAAGGGAAGGCAGAAGGAAGGUCACAGGACCCCUCCCCCCACCCACCCAGAGUGCUGAGCCCCCAGCAGUAGUGGGAACCUCUGAGCAGUCAAAGGUGCUGGUCUAGAGGGGUGUACCUUGUGGGAAGGGCUGUGCCAGACUCAGAGCAUCCAACACAGCUGGCAGGGAAGCAGCCAGGGAGAGAUCCAAGAGCUGGGAGCCUGGGCGGCUGGUUCCUUCCAUUUGGCUCAAGCCAUAAUGGACGUUUUUGCCUCAGGGCACACAUAGCUCAAACCAGUUGAACUUAAUCCAGUCAGGAGUCCUCAGAGCUCAGGAAGGACAGGACCCCUCCUCCCCCCCCCCCAGAAUGCUUGGCCUCCACAAGGACAGGAACCUCUGGGUGGUCAAAAGCACUGCACUAGAGAAUGUACCCUGUAAGCAGAGCUGUGCCAAGCUCAGAGCAUUGAACACAGGUGGUGGGGAAGCAGCUGGAGAGAACUGGAGAGCGCCUUGGUGGCUGAGACCUUCCAUUUGGCUCCAGCCUUCCAGAAGGUUUUGGCCUCAGAGGACUUAGGGUCCAACACAGCUGAACUUAAUCCCAUCAAAAGCCUCCAGAGGAUAGGGAAGCUCAAACUCCUUCAGAGACUGCACUGAGAGGUCUGACAAAGCUCCAAGAGGGGAGACUGACAGCCCCAAAACAAAAAAAAAGAAAGAAAGAAAAUGAGAGGAGCAAGAGCACAGACAAAUACAGGGACCAAAGAAGGGGCAAAUAUGAGCAAAUAGCAGAAAAAGAAGAAACAAAUUACAAUAGAAAUAUUCUACACAGCCAACGGAAGAGAGGGGUAGAGAUCAGCAAACGAUAAUCUUAAACAGCUUACUGACACACCCUCUGUCUAUGUAUACUUCUAACUAUUACAAUGAUAAAAAUGUGUAAGAGUUGUAGAUAUCUUUCCAUAUAGGAAUAUAAAUAAUUUGACCUUUUUGAAGCUCUUACAUUUUUUCUUUUUCUUAUUUACCUUUUUAUGCUUCUCUUGAAUUUUGUAUUUUGAUACCAGAUUUUCUGUGUACUUCUUACCUUUAAUCAAGAAUGCUUGGAAAUAUAUUUUAUUAAAUAACCAUCCUUUCCCCUGAAAGAUAUUACUCAGUUUUGAUGGGUAGCUGAUUCUUGGUUUUAAAACCAGUUCCCUUGCCUUAUAGAUUAUCAUAUUCCAAGCCUUCUAAUCUUUACUUCAAUAUGGAUUCUGCCAGAUCCUGUGUAAUUCUGACUGGGGCGCUGUGACAUUUGGAAUUGUUUCUUUUUGACUGUUUGCAGUAUUUUCUCCUUGACCUGGGAACUCUUGAACUUGGCUAUGAUAUUCCUGGGAGUUGUCGUUUGGGAAUUUAUUACAGAAGGUGAUCUGUGGAUUCUCUUGAUUUCUAUUUUACCCUCUUGUUCAAGAAUAUCAGGGCAGUUUUCUUUGAUAAUUUCUUGUAAUAUGAUGUCUAGGCUUUUUUAAAAAUCAUGACUUUCAGGUAGUCCAAUCAUUUUUAAAUGAUCUCUCCUAGAUCUAUUUUCCAGGUCAGUUGUUUUUUCAAUGAUAUAUUUCACAUUUUCUUUUAUUUUUUCAUUCUUUUGAUUUGAUUUUAUUGUUUCUGGAUGUCACAUGAAGUCAUUAACUUCUAUAUUUGCCCAAUAAUAUAUUUUUUAAUUUUUUUUGGUUACAAUACUCACUUUAUUUCCCUCCCUCCCCUCCACCCACCCUCCCAUAGCCGACACACAAUUUCAUUAGGUAUUACUUGUGUCCUUGAUCAGAACCUAUUUCCAGGUUGCUGGUGUUUGCAACAGGAUGUUCAUUUAGAGUCUACAUCCCCAACCAUAUGCACUUGAAACCAUGUAAUCAAGUAGUUGUUUUCCUUCUGUGUUUCUACUCCCACAGUUUUUCCUCUGAAUGUGUACAGCAUUUUUUUCUCAUAGAUCCCUCUGAGUUGUUCAGGAUCACUGCAUUACCACUAAUGGAGAAGUCCAUUACAUUCGAUUGUACCACAGUGUAUCAGUCUCUGUAUACAACGUUCUCCUGGGUCUGCUCCUCUCACUCUGCAUCAAUUCCUGGGGAGUUGUUCCAGUUCCCAUGGAAUUCCUCCACUUUAUUAUUCCUUUGAACACAAUAGUAUUCCAUCACCAAUGUAUACCACAAUUUGUUCAGCCAUUCCCCAAUUGAAGGGCAUCCCCUCAUUUUCCAAUUUUUUGCCACCACAAAGCAAAGCUAUUAAUAUUCUUUUACAUGUCUUUUUCCUCAUGAUCUCUUUGGGGUAUAAACCCAGCAAUACUAUGGCUGGAACAAAGGGCAGACAGUCUUUUAGUGCCCUUUGGGCAUAGUUCUAGAUUGUCCUCCAGAAAGGUUGGAUCAAUUCACAACUCCAACAGCAAUGAAUUAAUGUAUUGACUUUGCCACAUCCCCUCCAGCAUUCAUUACUUUCCUUUUCUGUCAUGUUAGCCAAUAUGGUAGGUAUGAUGUAAUACCUCAGAGUUGUUUUGAUUUGCAUUUCUCUGAUUAUUAGAGAUUUAGAGCACUUUUUCAUGUGCUUAUUAAUAGUUUUGAUUCCUUUAUCUGAGAACUGCCUAUUCAUGUCCCUUGCCCAUUUAUCAAUUGGAGAAUGGCUUGAUUUUUUGUACAAUUGAUUUAGCUCUUUGUAAAUUUGAGUAAUUAAAACUUUGUCAGAGAUUUUUAUGAAGAUUGUUUCCCAAUUUGUUGCUUCCCUUCUGAUUUUAGUUACAUUUGUUUUGUUUGUUCAAAAGCUUUUUAAUUUGAUGUAAUCAAAAUUAUUGAUUUUACAUUUUGUAAUUUUUUUCUAGCUCUUGCUUGGUUUUAAAGUCUUUCCUUUCCCAAAGACCUGACAUGUAUACUAUUCUGUGUUUGCCUAAUUUUCUUAUAGUUUCCUUCUUUAUAUUCAGAUCAUUCACCCAUUCUGAGUUUAUCUUGGUGUAGGGUGUGAGAUGUUGAUCCAAACCUAAUCUCUCCAAUACUGUCUUUCAGUUUUCCCAGCAGGUUUUAUCAAAUAGUGGGUUUUGGUCCCCAAAAGCUGGGAUCUUUUGGCUUAUCAUAGAUUAUCUUGCUGAGUUCAUUUACCCCUAGUCUAUUCCAGUUAUUCUCCUUUCUGUCUCUUAGCCAGUACCAAAUUGUUUUGAUGACCACUGCUUUAUAAGUAUAGUUUGAGAUCUGGGACAGCAAGUCCUCCUUCCUUUGAAUAUUUUUCAUUAUUUCCCUGGAUAUCCUUGAUCUUUUGUUCUUCCAAAUGAACUUUGUUAUGGUUUUUUCUAAUUCAGUAUAAAAUUUUUUUGGUAGUUCAAUAGGUAUGGCACUAAAUAAGUAAAUUAAUUUGGGCAGGAUUGUCAUUUUUAUUGUGUUAGCUCAUCCUACCCAUAAACAAUAAGUGUUUCUCCAAUUAUUUAGGUCUAGUUUUAAUUGUGUGGAGAGUGUUUUGUAGUUGUGUUCAUAUAGUUCCUGUGUUUGUUUUGGCGGAUAUAUGCCCAAGUAUUUUAUAUUGUCUAGGUGAUUUUAAAUGUGAUUUUAAGUGGAAUUUCUCUAAUUCUUGCUGAGGAGAUGGGUUGGAGAUAUAUAGAAAUGCUGAUGACUUAUGUGGAUUUACUUUGUAUUCUGCAACUUUGGUAAAGUUGUUGAUUAUUUAAACUAGCUUUUUGGUUGAUUUUCUAGGAUUCCUUAAGUAUACUAUCAUAUCAUCCUCAAGGAGUGAUAGCUUGGUCUCCUAAUUGCCAAUUCUAAUACCUUCCAUUUCUUUUUCUUCUCUAAUUUCUACUGCUAGUGUUUCUAGUACAAUGUUAAAUAAUAGAGGUGAUAAUGGGCAUCCUUGUUUCAUGCCUGAUCUUAUUGGGAAGGCUUCUAGUUUAUCCCCAUGGCAGAUGAUGUUUGCUAAUGGUUUUCAGACAUAUAGUGUUUAUUAUUUUGAUGAAAGGCUCUUGUAUUCCUAUACUUUCUAGAGUUUUCAAUAGGAAUGAGUGUUGUAUUUUAUCAAAGGUUUUUUCUGCAUCUAUUGAGAUAAUCAUGUGAUUUUUGUCAAUUUGUUUCUUAUUAUGGUCAACAAUGUGGAUGGUUUUCCUAAUAUUGAAUCAUCCUUGCAUUCCUAGUAUGAAUCCUUGUAAAGGUUGAAUAUUAUGGUUGAGACUGAAAAAACUUAAAUUUAAAUGGUUGCCAAGGGAAAUCCCAAAUAAUAAAAUACCUGUCAGCUGCCAAAUUUUUUUGGUGAUUUAAUUACAACAGGAUGAAGAAAAUAUUAGAGGGAAAGAGAAAGAGGGAGAGAAGGAAAGAGGGAGAGAAGGAAAGGAGUUUAACUCAGAACCACUCUGCCUCAGGCUGAGCCAAGGCGGGCGCUAAGGCCUUGGAAAGCCAAGGCAAAGAAAGGGGUCAGUCCUUAUCACUCAUGUGACAAGUCUGAAGGAAAGCUGUCUGUCGGGCUCCUCCAAGUUCAAGCUCCAGGAUCUAACUGAACUCUAACCCUCUCCACAGGAAGUCACAAGAACUCCAGAGGCUGUUCUCUGCCUUACUUCCUGCAUCUCACAUGUGCCAAUUGUGGCUCGAGCUUGACUUAGGACAGCCCAGAGGUCUGUCCUUUUUUUGCACAUGUCUGUUGAAGGCCAUUUUCUCAGAUAAUUAAAUCUUGAGUUUAAUGCAGACCUUCCUAAUCUUGUUAAACUAAGAAGGGAGGAGAAAUGUAGUUUCCAAGACCUGAUUCUUUAUUCCAAGUAUCUCUAUUGUUAUUGAUCAGGAAAUAGCUAAAUCAGAUCUUCUAAAGAAUGAUCUGAUUAGGGUGGAAUAGUUUUGAAAAUCCCAAUUUCCCCUGAGGCCCGAGGAAGACUAGUCUCUCCAAUGGGUCUUGUAAACAUACCUACUAUGAAAUUACAAUAAUUAGACAUAAGGGGAAAAUAGGAGAGAUAGAGAGAGAGAGACAACAAAACCAAUGUUUUGCUGGGUGCAUUGACAAAAGCCAAUUAGGGGGCAGUCCCCUUUGGAAGAAGAGUGUACAUUCAAAAUAAAUUCAAUCAACCUUCAGUUCAAUCAACCACACCCCAAGGUUCAUUCUUCAUCUUGAUGUAAUAUAGGUUUUUUGGCAUCUUUCUGCAACAGUUCAUUCUCUGGAUUUAGGGGUUAGCAAGCUUCUUCCUUGAGGAUCUUUCUUGAACAAAAAAAUUUCAAAAUCUUGGAUUUUUAUUACAAUACAAUCCCCCUCCCUGAAGUGGGUGUUAAAAAAUUCAGUUCAGCUAAGGAUGCAUUGUUGAGUUAUGGGGGUGUAUGAGUCAGUUAUUAAAAGAAUUCAAAAACAAUAAAAACAACACAAACCAAAAAACAAAAACAAAAAAUUUAUAAAGGGAAAAAUAUGGAAGAAAGUUAAACCUUUGGGAGGAAGAAAAAAUAAAAUAAAAAAAUCAGAAUCAAAAUACCAAAAUCUAUGUAUAUAAAAUGUUGAGUAAGCAAGAAUAAAUUCAUAAUGGGUCCUUGUACAGGUCCAAUUUAAAGUAAUUUCUAUCCCACAAGUCUGUAGGACAGAAUGCAGUAAUAUUUCCCUUACCCAUUUGCAGCCAAGACUACAGGUAGUUGCCAUACUAUAAGAAGGAAAGGAACUAGAAUUCUAUUUUGAUAGGGAAGAGUCAUUCCCUGGUCUGAUGUUUAGUAAUUCUCAGAGAUAUAGGGAGCCAGCAUGAUAGUCAAAUUUUGGUACUUGUAUGAGUACUUCACAAAGAGUGUAGAUACAAGGAAGUCCUGCGACUUAACAUAUGUCAAGCUCCGUAACCUCAAGUCCACAUUAGUAUUUCCUGUGUGCUCUUCUGGCACUAUUCAGGUUAAGUCUGUGUUCCUUGUUUUUAUCCCAUUUCUUGGAAUCAGACACAAACAUUAAUCAUAGUCCCAUAACAUUUUAUCAAUUAAUGGCAGGUUCCCACAGUUUAAAGCUUUGGGGUAUGUAUUGAUAUUAUACCAAGUAUGUAUAUAUAUAACUUAUAUUACUGCAGAGAGAGAAAAAUAUUUAAUUGUAUGUACCUUUAGUAUAAUAAAUGAGGAAAGGGGGAAAAUCAAAUAUUCAAAAGAAAAGCAAUAAUAAAAUUUAAGGGAAAGAAAAGGAAAAAAUCAGGAAUUCAAUGUGUUUUUGAAAAGCAAUCUUCAAUGCAUGUGAUAGGAUAUAGUCAAUCAAUCUCAACAGAAGAUGCUCUCCUUACAUGUGAGCAAUGAUUCCAAGAUUCCUUCUUUCCAACCUUUAUAGAUAUUGAAGUAGUUGACAAUAUUUGGAAUGGUCCCUCCCAGGAAGGCUGAGUUACUCCAGUAUGCUGGAAAUUCUUAAUAUACACCUUGUUUCCUGGAUUCAGGUCAUGAAGUGAAAAGUCUAGUGGUCUGGCUUGUACUGCAGUUGCGGAUUUAUGGAGUUCAUGCAGUUUGUGCUGUAAUUCCUGUGUAUAAGAAGCAAUAGUAGUAUCUCCCCCUAAUAGUGAUGUAUAUGCCAGGGAGAAAGGCUUAGCCUGUAUAGGCAGAUGUCCAAAAAGGAUCUCAAAAGUGAAAUGUGUAGGUCUCCUCUAGGCCUGCUUCUAAGAUAAAAUAGGGCCAGAGGGUGAAUUUCAGGCCAUUUUAAAUGGGUCUCAGUGCAUAAUUUUCCAAUCAUAAUUUUAAGUCUUUUGUUCAUCCUUUCCUACUAUUUGGAGGGGAGACAAAACUGAAAAAGUUUAAUUAAUAUCAUCAAAAUCAAUCGACUCUAAGAAGAACUACCUUCAUUAUAUCUGGGAUGUUCCUUGGGCACCCCCCAAAGGACACACCCCUGAGGGGCAUUAGACCCUCAAGUAUUUUUUGGACGAGCACCAUUUUUAUAUAUUGUUGUUGGACAUUGUGUUGGGUAUUAUCAUUUUCUUCAUUUGGAGAACUGUCAUUAUUUUCCCAAUUUCUAUUUCUAUAAUUUUGGUUUCUAAAGUUUUUAUUUCUAUAGUCAUAGUUAUUUCUAUAAUUAUCACUUCUGCAGUUGUUAUUGAACCAUGUAUUCCUUUCAAUAAUCUUGAGAAAAGAGCUAUACUCUACCAUUCUAUGGCCCUUCUUCCCACAGACGUGGCAGUUAAUGGAUUGAUAAUUAGAUUUCUGGAAAGGGGCAAGUGUCAUUAUUUCAUUAUCAUGCCCACUUUCUAUUUUAGCUAUCUUAUCUUUUAAACAUCUCAUUUCUUUCUUCAUUUCCUCUAUGAUGUCAUUAUUUUCUUCCUCCUUUUCUUUGUUUCCCUUUAAAACAUAUAUAGCUGUUUUUCACAAUUCUUCAAGGUCCAUCUCUGGCCAUCUUGGACAAUGUAUUCCAAAAUAAUUCUUAAUCACUUUGCAAGAGUUAUUGACAAAGAUCCUUCCAAAUUGUCUUAAGUUAUUUUCUUUAGAUAGGUCAAAAUCCAGGUAUCUAGCCCCAAACUCGAUUAUUCUAUCCAUGAAUCUGGAGGGUGUUUUUUCCUCAUUUUGCUUAAUUUUUUUCAAGUUCCAUCCACUUAUCUGUACUGUCUGCACAUUCCCUCAUUGCUGUAAGGAUGGUAUAGUUGUAGAUAAUCAUCAGGGUUGUUAUAGUCCCAUUCAGGAUCCUGAGAUGGCCAAUGUGCUGCAUUAUGCCCCCAGCUCUUGUUGACAUGAGCAAUUAUUUUAUUUUUCUCAUGUUCAGUUAAAAAAGCCUGUAGCAAGUUUUCAUUGUCUUUGUAAGACAGAUUAUAUUGAAAAAAUGUCUGUCAUCUUUUUCGUUACCAGAAAGGGAUCUUGUUCAUAUGUGGGAACAUUUCAUGUAAAUUCAUUUAUUUCUUGGGGAGUAUAUGGUAUAUUGUGCCUUAAAGUCACCAAAUCCCCAUUCCGUUCUAUUUCAGAUACUUUUCUUAGAGGAAAUAGGCCUCUAGUUGAAUUUUGUAUCUGUGGGUCACUUCAACUAGAACGAGUUUCUCUAGGAGGACGAGAUCUCCUUUGGGCUGGAAUUUGGUUUUCUGUAGAAGGAACAUGAGAAACUGGGAUUGCAGUGGAAGGGUUUUGGGGAUUAAAUUCAGCCAAAAUUUGCUGACCAUGAGAGACCCAGUCUGUUAGCUGAAAUAUAGGGAAGGUGUUUUCCAUCUCUAUUUCGGGGAAGGAAAUUUCCUCAUUCAAAGGUUCUAAAACAGGUCUAUUUCUGGUAGGGUGGAUGUUUGCCAAUUGAUCCUGUAAGAAACAUUUUAAGUUUUCUAAUUGGACUUGCAUGUUCUCUUGCAUGUUUUUUUGUGUCCUCAAUUUUUGAGUGUUUUUCUGAAUUUCAGCUUCAAUUAAUUUUUUUAUGUUAGCAUCUCUAAACACAUUGUUGAGAAGUACAAAAAUGGCAUUACCUAAUAAUAUAAAAAGUUGGAGGUAUGCUGUAUUCCUCAAUGUCCCUAAUUCUUUGACUGCCAUAUAAAUGUCGAAACAUAUGUAGUAUUCAUUUAUAUAUAUAUAUGUAUAUGUAUAUGUAUAUAUAUGCAUAUAUAUAUAUAUAUAGUAUUUAUUUUUCUAAUGGUCUUCACAAAACACGUGGGGAGCAGGACAAAGUCAAAACUUCCUACAUGUUUUAACCACUCCUAAUCUAUGCAGUUGUUCCCUAAGGGAAAAGAGAUUUAGAAACAGCUCUCCCAUCUAGGACCUUAGGGCUCUGUUGCUAAGAUUUAAAACAACUGUGUUCUAUCUAAUUUAAGGAGAGAGGGAGAAAAGAGAAAAAAAUAAAUCCACAUUUACUUACCUUUACAGCUGAUCAAAAUAAGCUAUUAAAAAAUAGUCCCAAUAGAAAAAAUGUUUAGGAAAUGUAGGAAGAUUGAGGGUAUUUUGUCAUACCAACAUGGUCAGCCAAACUGUAAAGGGUGAAUAUUAUGGUUGAGACUGAAAAAAAAUCUAAAUUUAAAUGGUUGCCAAGGGAAAUCCCAAAUAAUAAAAUACCUAAGUCAGCUGCCAAAUUUUUAUGGUGAUUUAAUUACAACAGGAGGAAGAAAAUAUUAGAGGGAGAGAGAGAGAGGGAGAGAAGGAAAUGAGUUUAACUCAGAACCACUCUGCCUCAGGCUGAGCCAAAGUGGGUGUUAAGGCCUUGGAAAGCCAAGGCAAAGAAAGGGGUCAGUCCUUAUCACUCAUGUGACAAGUCUGAAGGAAAGUUGUCUGCGGGGCUCCUCCAAGCUCAAGCUCCAGGAUCUAACUGAACUCUAACCCUUUCCACAGGAAGUCACGAGAAUUCCAGAGGCUGUUCUCUACCUUACUUCCUGCAUCUCACAUGUGCCAAUUGUGGCUCAAGCUUGACUUAGGACAGCCCAGAGAGCUGUCCUUUUUUUGCACAUGUCUGUUGAAGGCCAUUUUCUUAGAUAAUUAAAUCUUGAAUUUAAUGCAGACCUUCCUAAUCUUGUUAAACUAAGAAGGGAGGAGAAAUGUAGUUUACAAGACCUGAUUUUGUUAUUCCAAGUAUCUCUAUUGUUAUUGAUCAGGAAAUAGCUAAAUCAGAUCUUCUGAAGAAUGAUCUGAUUAGGGUGGAAUAGUUUUGAAAUUCACAUCCUACCUGGUCAUAGUGAAUAACCCUUGUGAUGACUUGCUGGAGUCUUUUUGCUAGUAUCCUAUUUACGAUUUUUGCAUUUAUAUUCAUCAGGAAGAUUGAUCUAUAGUUUUCUUUAUCUCUUUUUGAGCUGCCUGGCUUUGGAAUCAGUACCAUAUUUGUGUCAUAAAAAGAAUUUGGUAGAACACCUUCUUUGCUUAUUCUGUCAAAUAGUUUGUAUAAUAAUGAAGUUAGUUGUUCUUUGAAUGUUUGAUAGAAUUCAUUUGUGCAUCCAUCUGGACCUGGGGAUUUUUUCUUAGGGUGUUCUGUGAUGGCUUGUUCAAUUUGUUUUUCUGAUAUGUGGUUGUUUAGGUAAUCUGUUUCUUCCUCUGUUAGUCUAGACAAUUUAUAUUUUUGUAUGUAUUCAUUCAUAUUACCUAGAUUGCCAUAUUUGUUGUCAUAUAAUUGGGCAUAAUAGUUUUUAAUAAUUGCCUUAAUUUCCUCUUCAUUAGAGGUAAGGUUUCCCUUUUCAUCUUGUAUACUGUCAAUUUGGGUUUUUUCUUUCCUUUUUUUUUAAUUAGACUGACUAGUACUUUGUCAAUUUUAUUUGUUUUUUCAAAGUACCAGCUUCUAGUCUUAUUUAUCAAAUCAAUAGUUCUUUGACUUUCAGUUUUAUUAAUUUAUCCUUUGAUUUUUAGGAUCUCCAAUUUAGUCUUCAUCUGAGUGUUUUUAAUUUGUUCACUUUAUAGUUUUUUGAUUUGCAUGCCCAAUUCAUUGACCUCUGCUCUCCCUAAUUUGUUAAUAUAUGAACUCGACAAUAUAAAUUUUCCCCUGAGUACUUCUUUGGCUGCAUCCCAUAGAUUUUGAAAGGCUGUCUCAUCAUUGUCAUUUUCUUCAAUGAAAUUAUUAAUUGUUUCUAUGAUUUGUUCUUUGACUAACCAGUUUUAGAGAAUUGUAUUGUUUAAUUUCUAAUUAAUUUUUUAUUUACCUCUCCAUGUACCCUUACUAAUUAUUAUUUUCAUUGCAUUGUGAUCUGAGAAGGUUGCAUUUAUUAUUUCUGCUCUUUUUCACUUCUUUGCAAUGAUUUUAUGCCCUAAUACAUGGUCAAUGUUUGUGAAUGUUCUGCUGCAAAGAAGGUGUGUUCCUUUUUGUCCCUAUUUAUUUUUCUCCACAUAUCUACUAACUCAAAUUUUUCUGAUAUUUCAUUCACUUCUCUUACCUGUUUCUUAUUUAUUUUUUAUUUGAUUUUUCUAGUUCAGAUAGAGCAGCAGUUCUCAACCUGUGGUUUGUAGCAAUGAGAAUACAUAAUGCAUAUCAGGUAUUUACAUUCUGAAUCAUAUCUAUAGCAAAAUUAUAUUUUUUUUGUUUUUUUUUAAACCCUUACCUUCCAUCUUGGAGUCAAUACUGUAUAUUGGCUCCAAGGCAGAAGAGUGGUAAGGGCUAGGCAAUGGGGGUCAAGUGACUUGCCCAGGGUCACACAGCUGGGAAGUGUCUGAGGCCAGAUUUGAACCUAGGACCUCCCGUCUCUAGGCCUAGCUCUCAAUUCACUGAGCUACCCAGCUGCCCCCUGCAAAAUUAUAGUUUUGAAGUAGCCACUAAAAUUAAUUUUUGGUUUGGGGACACCACAACAUGAUGAACUGUUUUGUGGGGUCACGGCAUUAGAAAGGUUGAGAACCACUGAGAAAGAGGAAGAUUCAGGUCUCCCACUAGUAUAGUUUUCCUCUCUAUAUCAUCCUUGAGCUCCUCUAGUUUCUCCUUUAGAAAUUUGAAUGCUAUACCAUUUGGUGUAUACAUGUUGAGUACUGAUAUUUCCUCAUUGUCUAUACUGCCUUUUAUCAAGAUGUAAUUACUUUCCCUAUCUCUUUUAACUAGAUUUAUUUUUACGUUGGCUUUGUCAGAUAUCAUGAUUGUGACUCCUGCCUUCUUUUUAUCAGUUGAUGCCCGAUAGAUAGAUUUGGCUCCAUACUCUUACUUUCACCCUAUGCGUAUCUACCUUCCUCAUGUGUGUUUCUUGCAGACAGCAUAUGGUAGGGUUUUGGAUUCUAAUCCACUCUUCUAUUCGCUUGCAUUUUAUAGGUGAGUUCAUUCCAUUCACAUUCAGAGUUAUGAUUACCAACCAUAUAUCUCCCAACAUUUUGAUUUCUACUCCUAGUCCUGCCUUUUCUUCUUUCACUGUUUCCUUUUACACCAAUGUUUGUUUUUAAUCAGCCCCCCUAGUUCCCUCCCUUAUUUUUCUUCCCUUUCUACCCCCUCCCUCCUUAUUCCCCCUCUUAUUUUCUUUGCAGUCUUUUUAAAACUACCCCCCACCCUCUCCCUCCUUUAUACUGCUUCCCUCACCUCCAGUUCAUUUAUUACCCUUAUGUUCCCCUAUAAGGCAUGAAUCUAUUCUCUGCCCCAAUGGAUUGGAUUGUUCUUACCUCUUUGGGUCAAUUUCAAUGCACAUAAGAGUUGAGUAUUUCCUGUUUCCAACCUCUUUACCCUUCCAGUGUAUUGAUGUUCUUCCCCCCUCCUGCCAUGAGCUUCUUUGUGACCUAUACAUUUACCUCCUUUUGUUCAUUUCCCAUUUCCUUUAGUAUUAACCUCAUUUUUUAGCUCUAGUUGUAUACAUAUACACACAUGUAUAUGUAUUUACAUAUACAUAUAUCUAUAUACGUAUUUCUGUCUUGUUGUUUAAUCCUAUACAGUAUGUCACUAUUCCCUUUAAGUGUAAUUCUUCUAGCUGCCCAGGUGAUAACAACAGUUUUUAAGAGUUACCAAUGACCUCUUUUCUUAUAGGGAUACAUAUCAUUUUAACUUAUUGAGUCUCUUAAAAAAAGUUUUUGUGUUUUUUUGUUUUAUUUUGUUUUUCUUUUUCCCCCAUUCUUAAAUUACCUUUUGAUGGUUCUCUUGAGUUCUGUGCUUGGACAUCAAAUUUUAUGUUCAGGUCUGGUCUUUUCUUUACAAAUUCUUGGAAUUCUAUUUUUUUGAAUGACCAUAAUUUUCCCUGUAAGAAUAUAGUCAUAUUCUUAGAAUAUAUAAGAAUAAUUGCUGGGUAGUUGAUUCUUGGUUGUAGACCUAGUUCCCUUACUUUCUGGAAUGUCUUAUUCCAUGCCUUUUGAUCCUUCCAUUUAGAUGCAGCCAGAUCCUGUGUUAUCCUCACUGUCGUUCCAUGGUAUCUGAAUGACUUUUUCUUGGAAGCUUGUAAUAUUUUUUCUUUGGUCUGAUACUUCUUGAAUUUGGUUAUAACAUUCCUGGGUGUUGUCAGUUGGGGAUUAAGUACAGGAGGUGAUCUUUGGAUUCUUUCAAUCUCCACUUUUCCCUCUUGUUCUAGAAUAUCAGGGCAGUUUUCUUGAAUAAUUUCCUGUAGUAUUAUGUCCAGGCCUUUUCUUUUGUCAUGGUCUUCUGGUAGACCAAUGAUUCUUAAAUUGUCUCUCCUCGAAUGAUUUUCUAAAUCUUCUGUUUUGUGAAUGAGAUGUUUCAUAUUUUCCUCAAUUUUUUCAUUAUUUUGGUUUUGUUUUAUAGUAUCCUGCUGAAUUGUGAGGUCACUUAAUUCUAGUUGUUGUACUCUGGUUACUAAAGACUGGAUUUUAUCCCUUUUUGUCAUCUUUCUUCUUCUGUUUUGAUUUUCUUUGGAGGUCAUCUUUCAUCCCCUUUGCCUCAUCUUUCAUCUCCUUUGCCUCAUUUUCAAGAUGAUUAAUUUUGGCUUUCAAGAUGCUAUUUUCUGUUUCCAGAUGACUUAUCUUAGUUUUUAUGUUCUUUUCCCAAUUGUCUUCAGCCUCUCUUAAUUGUGUUUUGAAUUGCAUUUUGAGUUCUUCCAAAGCCUGUAUCCAAUUCGCUUGGAUUUCUGAUUUUUCCUUUGCUCUUGGCUCUCCCUCUGUUUUGUUUGCUCUUUGCUCAUUACCUCUAUAGAAGCUGUCUAAUGUAGUUUCUUUCUUCUUUUUCUGUUGUUUGCUCAUACCCCUUUUUCUUUGCUCCCCGUAUUUGUCUGUGUUCUUGCUACUCACAUUUUUUUUAUUUUGGGGGUUUCUGUCAGUCUCCCCUCUUGGAGUUUUGACAGAAGGUCUCUCCCUGCAGUCUGUGGCAAAGGGGUGUUGUAGUUUGAGCUUCCCUUUCCUCUGGAGGCUUUUGAUUGGAUUAAAUUAAAAUCCAACAGUAUGUGGGGGAGGGUUGUUGUAGUUUGAGCUUCCCAGUCCUCUGGAGACUUUUGAUUGGAUUAAAUUAAAAUCCAACAGUAUGUGGGGGAGGGUUGUUGUAGUUUGAGCUUCCCAGUCCUCUGGAGACUUUUGAUUGGAUUAAAUUAAAAUCCAGAAGUCCCUGAGGGAGGGUUGUUGGGGUUUGGGCUUCCCUGAUGUCUGAAGACUUUUGAUGGGAUUAAGUUCAUCUGGGUUGGGCUGGAUGUGCCCUAAGGUCAAAACCUCCUGGAAGGCUAGAGGUCACAAUGGAAGGUCUUAGUAGCUCUGUCCAGGCUGCCAGCUCUGUGCUCCCUUUCCAGCUCCUUCCCCACCACCUGUGUUCGACCCUCUGAGCCUGGCACAGCCCCGCCCACAAGGUACACCCUCCAGACCAGUGCCCUUGCCUGCCCAGAAGUUCCCGCUGCCACUGGAGGCUUAUUGCUCUAGGUGUGUGUGUGGGGAGGGGUCCUGGGACCUUCCUUCCACCUUUCCCUUAAAGCUGAGUGUUCUUGGAUUUGUAGAAAUUUUAGGCUUCUGGGAGAGGUUAUAAUAUUGUAAUGGCUAAAAUUGUGGCUACAGGAUUUAUGUAAUAUUGAACAAUGGCCGCCAAGGAAUUUACUUAUGAAAUUCCUAAAAUGAAACACUCAAGUCAGAAUGGAGUUUAUGGGGGUUUAAUCACACUGGAAGUAGAGAAAGGAGAGGGAGAGAAGGAGAGAAGAGAAAAGGGAAAGGGGCUACUCAACCUCUGACCAAGGCAGAGGGAGAUUUAGGCCCAAAGGCCCAGGUGGAAAGAAUCAGUCCUUAACUCACAUGACGGAUCUGAAGGAAAGCUGUCUGCGGGCAUCCUCCCUCUCCAAGCUCCUAACACCCCUAACUCCCCUAGCUCUCUCCACAGGAAGUGCGCGAAUCCUAGAGGCUGUUCCCUACCUCACUUCCUGUGUCUCACAAAUCCAAUGGUUGGCUCUAGCUUGGCUUAGGACAGCCCAGGUGGGCAGUUAGUUAUUUCUGAUUUGUCAUUGACUAGCGCAUGCCCGUGUAGUGUGGGUGUGCACAAUUUUUGGGUGCUAGACCAAGAUGGAGAUUCCAGCUUUUGGUAUGUACCUUGUCUUGUUGUUACGUUUGAUUUUCAGUCUCCUAGGAGCAGUCAGUUUGUGAUUGGUAAGGAAGGGUUUUCAGAGGUCUGAACUUCUCCCAAUACUAUUUUUAAAGAAUGAAUUUAUUCCAUGACCUUUUCAUCUUACUUUUCCACUUUAUAUCUUCUUCUACUUUUCAUGUAUCUCUUUUCUUUAUUGAUUUUUUUGCCUCUUUCCAGUUGACCAAUUUUAUUUUUUUAAGCUAUUGUUUUCUUUUUGCAUUACUUUCAUCCUUUUUUGCAUUUUUCUUUGAUCUGUCUUAUUUGAUUUUUUAAUUCCUUUUUGAGUUCUUCCAGCACUUGAUACCAGUUUCCCUUUUUCUUUGAAGUUUUGCAUAUGGUUACCUGAAUCUCACUUUCUCCUGUUGACUCUAUGUUUUGAUUUUUUUGUCUCCAUAGACAUUUUCUAUCUUUGGGUCUUUCUUUUACUGUUUGUUCAUUUCCCCCACAUUUUAUUGCCUGUGGACUGGGAAUUCUGAAAGAUGAUGAUCCUAUCUCCUUUGCUGAUGGCUUGCAGGACCUGGCACUGUGAGUUCUUUUGCCCUGGGGCUAGGUCUUCACCACAGUUCAGGCUUGAAAAGGCCAAACACACUGGAAUUUGGGGCCUCACUUUUGGGGUGGUGUCAGGGCCUGGGACUAGAAGAAAAUGGGUCUGGGGUAUAGUGUGCUCUGUUGUUGGUGUGGCCAGGGUCACACAAUCCUGAAGUUAGCCUAUGUCCAGGUUCAUAUCCAGGUACAGUAGGUGAGUUUUGGUCAGCCAGCACUUCUCUAUGUGCAGUUAAAAAAAUUACCUCUGUCUUAGAAUCACUACUGUGUAUUAGUUUUAUGGCAGAAGAGCAUUACAGGCUAGGUUAAUGGGGGGGAGUAAGUGUCUUACCUGGGGUCAUACAACUUGGAAGUGCCUAUUGUCAGAUUUAAACCUAGGACCUCCUAUCUCUAGGCCUGGCUCUCAAUCCACUGAGCUACCCAGCUGCUCCUUUUGUGAAAUUUUGUUUGUGGUUACCCUUUAUCCCAUUAAAAGUGAUUCUCUCUGUCUACCAUUCAAGUUGUAUUUAGAAGAGAGCCCCCUCUCUCCUUCUGGCUGUUGGUUUUUGACUCCUAUCCUUUUGAGUAGCUUUUUAAAGAAUAGUUUGGAAGGACUGUCAGAUUGGUUUCAGCUUUUACUACUACUAAGCCACCAUCUUAGCUCCACCCCACUCAUUUUUAUUUUAAAUGUAGGCUCUGUUCUGAGGGUGGAUAGGGCACUCUAUUAAAUUUCAGUUCUUCCUUGAUGUACCCUUGACCUUAUUUCUGGGUUUCUGCAAGUUUCAGUUCUUUUAAGGUGAUAUGAUGGCCUGAGGCCUGUGAGCUCUGAAAGACAUCUACCACUGCUGAUUCAAUUACCCCUUGAUACUGCUGGUGGCUCAAAUUCUAGCCUCUGGCUUGGGUAGGGGCUUUUGAUUUCAUCUAGACUUCAUCAGGUCAGGCACAUCUUUGACUACUCUGCCCUGGGGCUCCAUCUUGAGGUUUGGCAAGGACCAGCCAGGCCAAGGCUCCCAUAGACCAACAGCCUAUGUACUGACCCCACCAGGGAUCCAGGGACUCAGCUCAGGGACUACAUUGACCCUUAGUUCUGUCCCAAAUUGGGAUUCAGGUCCUUAGGAGAAGCCCAGGCUGGAAAACUCCUAGCCUAGCUUUAGGCCCACACAGAUCAGGUGCUCUGCACAGACUGCUCCAGACUGGAAUUCUGGACCUCACCACAGAUUUGCUUGGAACUUUAAAGGGUGUGUGUUGUGUUGCACUGUUGUUGGCUUAGGCAGGAUCUCAGGGUCUGGAAUGCUGGCUUGGGCCCAGGUUGAGAACUUUUUAAAUUGUUUUCUGCAUGACAGUUGCUUCACUCUGUGUCCUUGUUGGUUCUUUUUCUCCUGUAUUCAUUUUGUGGUGUUAUUUUAAGAUUGGUUGGAGAGGAUUCUUCUGGUGGUUUCAAGGUUCCCUGCUUCUCCUCUGCCAUAUUGGCUUCUGGGUCUGUUUUUUCUAAUAGAGAGUCUUACAUUCCCUAAAGAAGAUAGGGGAGAGGUACAAGGGUUCAGAAAAAGAGAAAAAAUCGGGUGGAGGUAGUUACGGACAAAGUUAUGGAGAGGGUGGGAAGCUUUAUGAGAAGAAGAAGAGGAGGAAGAUGAAAAGGUGUGGAAUGGUGUAGCUAGGUGGCUCACUGGAUUUGUGGACCAGGCCUGAAGGUAUGAGAUCUUGGAUUCAAAUAUGACUACUGACACUUCCUAGCUUUGUAACUAUGGGCAAGUCACGUAACCUCAGUUGUCUAGCCUGUACCACUCUUCUUCCAAGGACUCAAUACUUAGUAUUGAUUUUCAGAUACAAUAUAAAGGUUAUUUUUAAAAAUAGAAGUGUUGAUGAAGAGUGUGGGGGGUUGAUCUUGGAUAGGAGGGAGAAAACAGGAAAUGAAAGGAUUUGUUUGGGAUGAAAGUUAAGAGUCUAAGAGUAAAGGGAUGGAGGUGGGGAAAGGGAGAAAAAAGGAGGUCUAACAAGAAGACCGAGAGACAAAAAUGAGGCCUGAGAUGAGGUUGAAGAAGGAGGAACCAAAGAAGAGGAGUUGAAAGAAGGGAGACUAGGCCAGGAGAGGAGAAGGAGGGCAAGAGUAUAAUGAGUUUGAGGCUGGACAAUUCUAGAACUGUGACCCCCCCUACACACACACAUACCAUGCUGACACUGUGGAAAGGGAGACUCAUAAAUAAGUGUUUUCUGUCUAUCAGAGUGUGACAAGAAUGAAGUCACCAGCAUGGCUUAGAGGUGACCAAAAGGAAGGUGUUGGCCUGGAGAAGCUGGUCAGGUAAGGAGAAGAAAGACUUCCCAAGCAGAAUCCAGUGUGAUGGAGUAGCAAUAAUGGGUCAGCCUGGAUAUGUAAAGACCUACCAUGAAAAGCAAUUCCUCAUACAAGAGGCUAUCUCUGCCCUUUGCUUGCUCCUACUCUGGACACACCUGUCCUGGUUUGGAUUAUAGAGCCAGCAGCCUCCCUUGCCAGGUUAGAAUAUUUGGUAGACUUUGGUUCUAGAAUCAGCUCUGCUGCUAACUGUCACUAGUCACAUUCUUGUGUCUCAGUGUCCUGCCUUUUAAUAGGAAAGUAUUAUAAUAGUGGGAAUCUAUACUAAUAUUCAGCAGUGUGGAAUGUCUGCAGUUUGGGGAGGGUCUAAGGGUCCUUCAGGAAAGAGGGAAUAUGCACAGAUAAUGAAGCCAAUGUCAGGAAGUCACAGGGACCACUUGGCUUUGCUGCUUCUUUGGUCCAAUUCAUAACGCUGAUCCCACCCAUUUUCCCCAUUUGACCCUAAAGUCAAAAACUGGAUAGUUCAAGAAAAUGUACAUUAGAGAAACAACUACAAAGGCAAGCUCUACUUGGUCUAUCUGGAGGGUAUAAUUGCUUGUUUAUAGGGAAGGGAGCAGAAUAAAGUAGACAGAACAGGGAUGAAUUGGAGCUUACUGAAUCUUUGCUUGCUUCCAAGAGUAACCUCUAAAGUACUUGUAUUUCUGGGCAAGAUGCUCCCCCUUUCUUGGCCUCAGUUUCUCCACAUACACAGCCAGUUAGAGAGAAAAUUGUAGCUGAUUGGACAAAAGGAGAAAUUUAAAAUUAGGAAUUUAAGACCGGGAUUCAAAUUCUUUCUCUUAUGCCUCCUGGUUUUAUAACUUUGAACAAGCUAGUAAUCCUCUGAAUUUUGCCAAAUGACUUUCUCCAAUUUUAAAUUACUAAUGAAUUGUGUACAUGUACAGACUAAAGGAUGAAUAGUUAAUUCUAUCCUCUCCAUUGCUCCAACAAAAAGUUCUGAAAAUAAGAGUCAGACUGUAUGAUAUGUCAGAGGACUAUUUUAAAUGAAAUAAAACUAAAGAUUCCUGAUUUUGAUUUUACAGAUAAGCCAACUAAGAGCCAGAAGGUUGGCCAUCUCCAUCUGCUCUAGGUCACACAGUCAUGGAGUAGCAGAGCCAUCAUUUGAACACAGAUUUAAUGACUCCUAAGGUAGCAAGCUGUUGACAAGGAUGAUGUCACUGUUUCUAAGGUUUGGGGAAUGGUGCGACUAAUUGUCAGGAAAAAGGGAAGAGAGAAGGCUGUGACAAGAAAGAAGUCUCCAGCAUGUCUCACAGGUAUCUAAAGAGAGGUGGCAGCCUGGAGAUUCCUGCCGGGUAAGGAGAGGGAAGGGUCACCAAGCAGAGCUCAGGGUGAUGGGCUGGCAAUAGUGGCAGGCCUGGAUUAUAAAGACCCAACAUCAGACCCAACUCCUCCCUCAGGAGGCUGUCCCAGCCCUUCCCUGGCUCUGACUCUCAGCACAUCUGUCCUCCCACCAGCUUUGGACUAUAGAGGCAGCAGCCUCUCUGGCCAAGUUAGAACACUGAGGAGAUCUGGGUUCUAGUGUCAGCUCUGCUGAUGUCACUGUUCCCUAUCCUCUGUCUCAGUGUCCUGCCCUAUAACAGGACAGCAUUAAAAUACUUAUAAUCUACAGCAACAUUUGGCAUUAAGGUUGGUACUUCUGGUAGUGACUUAGGGGCCUUUAGGUCAGAAAGAACUUGUUCAAAUAAUGAAGCCAGGGAUAGGAAGACAUUAGGACCACUGCCUUUGUAGCAAAUUACUAACCUUGAUCCCAUCCAUUUCCCCCUUCAUCCUAAGGGAAGCCAGUGGAGGGGGUGGGACGGAUCAGAGAAAAAGUACAUUGCAUAAAAAACUCCAAAGGUCAACUCUACUGAAAGUGUGUUAAAGAAACCAUCUUGAUCUCUCUGGAGGGCACAAUUGUUUGUUUACAGGGCUGAGAGCAUGGUAAAAGAGAAUGAAGAUGGAUGGGAUGUGAGGGCAUUGGAUCUUUAUUUAAUCUCCUGAGUUAUGUGUAAGGCACUUGUAGGACUUUGAGAAAGAUGCUCCCAAUUUUGUUAGCCUCAGUUAAGAUCUGGAUUCAUAUUCUGGCUGUGCUACCUGUAAUUUUCAUAAUUUACAAGAAGGUGUAGUAAUCUGACAACCAACUCUCCAAUUUGAAAUUACUGAUAAAUUAUAUAUGUACAUAGGCUAUGGAAUGAAAUCUGAGGUUUGGUUUCUCCAUUGCUUUAAUUAAAAAAGGGUCUCAUAUAAGAAAGUCAGAUGAGGUAGCUGAGCAUUAUUCCAAAUAGGAGAAUCCUGAAUAUUCCUGAUUUCACUUUACAGAUGAGCAAACAGAGCCAGAAGGACUCCAUCUGCCUCUGUUCUGGGUCACACAGCCUUGGGGUGGCAGAGCCCCAUCAUUUGAACACAGGUUCCAUGACUCCUGAAGGGAGCACUCUGUGGCCCAGAAUGACAUCAUGGUUGCCAAGGUCUCAGGAGUCAUUCAGUCCAACCCUGUCCUUUGAUAGAAAAUGAAGCUGGAGCCCAAGAAAUUUAAGUCAUUUACCCCAGGAUCAGCAGGGUGUGAGAAGAAUGAUGCCACUCAGGAGGUGACCCAAAGGGAGGUGGCAGCCUGGAGAAUCCUGCAGGGGUGUGAGAAAAAUGAUGCCACUCAGGAGGUGACCCAAAGGGCGGUGGCAGCCUGGAGAAUCCUGCAGGAUGAGCAAACACAACCAGAAGGACUCCAACUGCAUCUGUUUUGGGUCACACAGCCUUGGGGUGGCAGAGCCCCAUCAUUUGAAUGCAGGUUCCAUGAUGCCUGAAGGCAAUAGAGUGUCACCCAGCAUGACAUUAUGGUUGUCAAGGGUGUGAGAAGAAUGAUGCCAGUCAAGAGGUGACCCAAAGGGAGGUGGCAGCCUGGAGAAUUCUGCAGGGUAUGGGCUCUGGGAUGAAAUCUCAGCUCUGGCCUGUCCAUGGCACUAACAUCAAAGUGAGCUAAAGAAGAGUCAGAGUAGAUGAGGAGGAGGCUGAGCAUUAUUCCAAAUAGGAGAGUCCUGAAGAUUCCUGAUUUCACUUUACAGAUGAGCAAACAGAGCCAGAAGGUCUCCACCUGCAUCUGUUCUGGGUCACACAGCCAUGGGGUGGCAGAGCCACAUCAUUUGAACACAGGUUCUAGGAUUCCUUAGUUUACAAGCUGAUGCCCCCAUUUCCAAGGGUGUGAGAAGAAUGAUGCCACUCAGGAGGUGACCCAAAGGGAGGUGGCAGCCUGGAGAAUCCUGCAGGAUGAGCAAACAGAGACGGAAGGACUCCAUCUGCCCCUGUUCUGGGUCACACAGCCAUGGGGUGGCAGAGCCAGCCCCAUCCUUUGAACACAGGUUCUAGGAUUCCUAUGUAUAAAAGCUUUUGCCAUCAUUUACAAGGGUGUGAGAAGAAUGAUGCCAGUCAAGAGGUGACCCAAAGGGAGGAGGCAGCCUGGAGAAUCCUGCAGGGUGAGCAAACAGAGCCAGAAGGACUCCAUCUGCCUCUGUUUUGGGUCACAGUCAUGGAGUGGCAGAGCGAUCAUUUGAACUUCAUGUUCAAAUGGUUUAUGGACUCCUAAGUUUACAAGCUGUUACCAAGGAUGACAUGAUCGUUUCCAAGGGUGUGAGAAGAAUGAUGCCACUCAGGAGGUGACCCAAAGGGAGGUGGCAGCCUGGAGAAUCCUGCAGGGUGAGCAAACAGAGCCAGAAGGACUCCAUCUGCCUCUGUUUUGGGUCACAGUCAUGGAGUGGCAGAGCGAUCAUUUGAACUUCAUGUUCAAAUGGUUUAUGGACUCCUAAGUUUACAAGCUGUUACCAAGGAUGACAUGAUCGUUUCCAAGGGUGUGAGAAGAAUGAUGCCACUCAGGAGGUGACCCAAAGGGAGGUGGCAGCCUGGAGAAUCCUGCAGGAUGAGCAAACAGAGCCAGAAGGACUCCGUCAGCAUCUGUUCUGGGUCACACAGCUUUGGGGUGGCAGAGCCCCAUCACUUGCACACAGGUUCCAUGACUCCAGAAGGGAGCACUCUGUGGCCCAGGAUGACAUCAUGGUUGCCAAGGGUGUGAGAAGAAUGAUGCCACACAAGAGGUGACCCAAAGGGAGGAGGCAGCCUAGAGAAUCCUGCAGGAUGAGCAAACAGAGCCAGAAGGACUACAUCAGCAUCUGUUCUGGGUCACAGAGCCUUGGGGUGGCAGAGCCCCAUCACUUGCACACAGGUUCCAUGACUCCUGAAGGUAACAGAGUGUGACCCUAGAUGAUAUCAUGGUUGCCAAGGGUGUGAGAAGAAUGAUGCCACUCAGGAGGUGACCCAAAGGGAGGUGGCAGCCUGGAGAAUCCUGCAGGAUGAGCAAACAGAGCCAGAAGGACUCCGUCAGCAUCUGUUCUGGGUCACACAGCUUUGGGGUGGCAGAGCCCCAUCACUUGCACACAGGUUCCAUGACUCCAGAAGGGAGCACUCUGUGGCCCAGGAUGACAUCAUGGUUGCCAAGGGUGUGAGAAGAAUGAUGCCACACAAGAGGUGACCCAAAGGGAGGUGGCAGCCUAGAGAAUCCUGCAGGAUGAGCAAACAGAGCCAGAAGGACUCCAUCAGCAUCUGUUCUGGGUCACAGAGCCUUGGGGUGGCAGAGCCCCAUCACUUGCACACAGGUUCCAUGACUCCUGAAGGUAACAGAGUGUGACCCUAGAUGAUAUCAUGGUUGCCAAGGGUGUGAGAAGAAUGAUGCCACUCAGGAGGUGACCCAAAGGGAGGUGGCAGCCUGGAGAAUCCUGCAGGAUGAGCAAACAGAGCCAGAAGGACUCCGUCAGCAUCUGUUCUGGGUCACACAGCUUUGGGGUGGCAGAGCCCCAUCACUUGCACACAGGUUCCAUGACUCCAGAAGGGAGCACUCUGUGGCCCAGGAUGACAUCAUGGUUGCCAAGGGUGUGAGAAGAAUGAUGCCACUCAGGAGGUGACCCAAAGGGAGGUGGCAGCCUGGAGAAUCCUGCAGGAUGAGCAAACAGAGCCAGAAGGACUCCAUCAGCAUCUGUUCUGGGUCACAGAGCCUUGGGGUGGCAGAGCCCCAUCACUUGCACACAGGUUCCAUGACUCCUGAAGGUAACAGAGUGUGACCCUAGAUGAUAUCAUGGUUGCCAAGGGUGUGAGAAGAAUGAUGCCACUCAGGAGGUGACCCAAAGGGAGGAGGCAGCCUGGAGAAUCCUGCAGGAUGAGCAAACAGAGCCAGAAGGUCUCCACCUGUAUCCAUUCUGGGUCACAGAGCCAUGGGGUGGCAGAGCCAGCCCCAUCCUUUGAACACAAGUUCUAGGACCCCUAAGGCAGCAUGGCCAAGGAUCACAAUAAGGUUGCCAAGAUCCUGAAGGAAGCCAGAUAUGAGAGUGGGAUGGAUCAGAGAAAAGGCUCACGGAAGAAACAACUCCAAAGGCAAGCUCUACUGCAAUUGUGACAAUCAUCUCCAUCUGUUCUAGAGCUCACCCAGUGGCAGAGCCAUCAUUUGAACAUAGACAUCACUGUUUCCAAGAAAAUGAAGCUGAAGACCAGGAAAGUUAAACGAUUUGCCCUGGAUGAUAAAGGGUGGAAAAAAGAAUGAAGAAGUGGAUGUGCAGCUUAGAGAUGUCCAAAAGUCCUGGAGAACUUCACAGAUCCUGGAGGAAGAGAGAAGAACAUGGAAUGAACCAUCACAAGAAAGUUCACUGCGCAGCGACUCGUGGAAAGAAGAAUGCCUACAUUGAUCACACACACACACACACACACAUAUACAUACAUAUACUCUACACUAUGAACAAAUUAACCACGAUUUAGAUCCAUAGAUAAAUAGAAAUAUAGACAGAUAAAUAGAUGAUCAAAUAAGUAGGCAAACAUAUAAAAAGUGAAGGCAGAGAAAAAACUACAUAGGUAAAUAAGUAAAAAUAAAUAAAUAGGUAAAUUAAUCAAUAAACAGAUAAAUCAAUAAACCCAAUGGAUAAAAGAGAUAAACAAACAGGUAAAAUAUAAAUAAUAUGUGGUAAAAGUAAAUAUAUGUUUAAAUAGAUAAAUAAAUAUGCUGAUAAUAAAUGGAUAAUUAAACAGGUAAACAGUAAAUAUACUGAUAAUAACAUGUAUAGAUAAUAUUCAUAGAUGAAAUAAAUCAUUAAAAUUAUAUUCAUAUAUAAAUAUGGAUACAGAAUAUAUAAAUACAGAAAAUAAAUGCAUAGAGAAAUAUGCAAAUAGUUAAAUAAGUAAAUAACCAAAAAUUAUACAUAGAUUAGACAGAAAAAUACAUCAAUGAAUAUCAUAAAUCAAUUCACCUUGUUGAGAGAUAAAUAGAUACAUAUAAAGACACAGAUAAGUAAAAUAUACAUUUUAAGAGUUAAAAAGAUAAACAGAAAAAUGGAUAAAUCCAUCAAUAUGUAGAUAAAUAUAUUGUUAACAAAUAUGACUCAUAAGCAUACAUAGAUAAAUAAAAAAUAAUAGACAUGAUAAAUAAGUAAAUAUGUAUAGUUAAAUAGAUGAUAUGCUGAUAAAUAGAAAAAUAAAUAGAUGAUUUUAAUAAUAGACAAAAAUGGAUAAUGAUGGGUAACUUAAUAAAAGGAUAAGUAAUAUGUAUGAAUGUAAUGAAUAGAAAAAUACAUAGAUGAUGUAAAUAGACAAAUGUAUACUAUAUAUGGAUAACAUAAAGAACAAAGGUUUUUUAAGUAAAUAAAUAGAUAAAUAUUUAGAUAGACUAAAUAAAAGUUAAAUAGACCAUGUAAAUAACAUACAAAUGGAUAAUAAUGGACAAUUUAAUAAAGACAUGCUUUAAGCAAUAUAUUAAUCAGAUAAAUAGAAAAAUAGAUGAGUAAUAAUGGAUAAUUUUAAUAAAGGUAUGUAAAAGUAAUAAAUAUAAAUUAUCUAUAUAAUAUGCUGAUAAAUAGAAAAGUAAAGAUGGGUAAAUUUGUUAAUGGAUAAAAUAAUGGAUAAUUUAAUAAAGACAUGGAUAAAACAAAUAUGUAUUAUAAAUAGAAAAUAGAAAAAUAAAUAGAUGAGUAAAUAGAUAAAUAAUAAUAAUGGAUGCUUUAAUAAGAACAUGGAUAAGUAAAUAAAUAUCAAUAGAUAACAUGCUGAUAAAUAGAAAUAUAAAUGGAUAAUUUAUAAUAGAGAUAGAUAAAAAGCAAAUAUGUAGACAUAAAUAGAAAAAUAAAUAGAUGAGUAAAAAAGACAAUAAUGGAUGCUUUAUUUACGAAAGACAUGGAUAGUAAACAAAUAUAGUUAAAUAUAGAUAGCAAUGCUGAUAAAUAGAAAAAUAAAUAGUUAAAUAAUAGACAAAUGGAUAAUAAUGGAUAAUUUAAUAAGACAUAAGUAAAAAGUAAAAAUAUAUAUUUAAAUAGAAAAUUUGAGAUAACAAUGGGGUAAAUUUUAAUACAGACAUGGUAUAUACAUUAAAUAGAUUAUAUGCCAAUGAAUAGAAAAAUAAAUAGAGUAUGGAUAAAAAGUAAUAAAAUAGAUAUUAAAUAGAUAUAAUAUGCUGAUAAUAGAAAAAUAAAUAAAUGAGUAUUUAGACAAAUGGAUAAUAAUAAUGGAAAUUUAACAAAGAUAGGUAAAGUAAUACAAUAUAAAUGAUAUAUGCUGAUAAAUAGAAAAGUAAAAUAGAUGGGUAAAAAUAUAUUGUUAUGGAUAAAAUAAUGGAUAAUUUAAUAAAGAUAAAAAACAAAUAUGUACAUAUAAAUAGAAAAUAGAAAAAUAAAUAGAUGAGUAAACAAAUAAUGGAUCCUAUUAAUAAGACAUGUAUAAGUAGUAAAUAAAUAUCAGUGGAUGCAUGUGCAGAGCAUAAAUAGAAAUAUAUAUAAAUGGAUAAAUUAUAAUAGAGAUAGAUAAAAAGCAAAUAUGUAGAUAUAAAUAGAAAAAUAAAUAGAUGUACUUAGACAAUAAUGGAUGCUUUAAGAAAGAUAUGGAUAAAAUAUAUAAAUAGAUAGCAAUGCUGAUAAAUAGAAAAAUAAAUAGUUGAAUAAUAUAGACAAAUAAUAAUGGAUAAUUUAAUGACAGGUAAAAAGUAAAAAAAUAUAUUUAAAUAGAAAAUAUGCUGAUAAUAGAAAUUCAAUAGAAAAAUGGAGAUUAUAUUAAUAAUGGGUAAAUUUUAAUAGAGACAGUAUGUAAGUUAAUAGAUAAUAUGCCAAUGAAUAGAAAAAUAAGUAGUGUAAAUAGACUGGAUAAUAAUGGAUAAAAAGUAAAAAAUAUAUAGUUAAAUAGAUAUAAUAUGCUGGAAAAAUAAAUAGAUUAAUAAAUAGACAAAUAAUAAUGGGAAAUUUAAUAAAUAGAUGAGUAAAUAGACAAAUAAAAAUGGGAAAUUUAAUACAUGGAUAAAAUAAAUAAAUAUUGUUAAAUAGAUAAUAUGCUGACGAAUAAAUAGAAAAAUAAAUAGAUGAGUAAAAAACAAAUGGAUAAAUUUAAUAAAGGGUAAGUAAAUAGAUUUCAUUUGAAAAGUAAAAAGAAUUGGUAAAUAAAACUGGAUAAAUUUAAUAAGAUAUGGAUAAAAAAGCAAAUAUAUCUAGUUAAAUUGAUAAAUAGAAAAAUAAAUAGAUGAGUAAAUAGACAAGUGUAUUAUAAUAAUGGAUGAGUAAUAGACAAGUGUAUAAUAAUAAUGGAUGUUUAAAGAUAGGUAAAAAGUAAAUGAAAGAUAAAUAUUUAGAUAUAUGCUGAUAAAUAGAAAAUAAUAGGGUAAAUAAACAAAUGGAUAAUAAUGGAUAGUUUUAAUAAAAUAAGAUGCAUAAAAGCAAAUAUUAAAUAGACAAAAUAAUAAUAAUGGAUGAUUUUAAUAAGUUACAUAGAUAAAACAUGCUGAUAAAAUAGAUGAAUAAGUAGACAAAUGGAUAAAUGAUGGAUAAUUUAAAAAGAUAAAUAGAUUUCAUAUGCUGAUAAAUAGAAAAUAAUGGGUAAAAUAAACAAAUGGAUGAAUAUAAUAGAUAAUUUAAUUUAAUAAGGACAUGGAUAAAAAGCAAACGUUAAGUAGAAAAAUUAGAGAUGAGUAAAAUAGACAAAUAAUAAUGGAUGCUUUAUUUUAAUAAAGACCCUGAUGAGUUAAAUAAUCGCAUGCUGAUAAAUAGAAAAAUAAAUAGAUGGGUAAAAACAAAUGGAUAAUAAUGAAUUUAAUAACAUAGGUAAAAAGGUAAACAUUAUAUAUAUAUUUAAAUAGAAAAUAUGAUAAAUAGAAAGUCAAAAGACAAAUGCAUAAUAAUGAGUAAAUAUUUAAUAAGACAAUGUAUAAUGGAUAAUUCUAAUAAAGACGUAGGUAAAAAUAAGUAUAUAUUUAAAUAUGCUGAUAAUAGAAUAAUAAAAAUGAUAAAAAAUAAAUAUAUAUUAAAUAAUAGAUAAUAUGCUGAAAAAUAAAAAAUAAAUAUAUAUUAAAUAAUAGAUAAUAUGCUGAUAAAUAGAAAAAUAAAUAGAUGGGUAUAAUAAAUAGACAAAUGGAUUAAAUGGGUAAUUUAAUAAAAGACAUGUAUAAAAUUGUUAUAACAUGCUGAUAAAUAGAUAAGUAAAUAGACAAAUGGAUAAUUUUAAGACAUAGAAAAAGUAAAUAGAUAAACUAAUAAAAUAGAAAAAUAAAUAGAUGGGUAAAUAAACAUGAUGGAUAAUAAUGGAUAAUUCAAUAAGACAUUGCAUAAAAGCAAAUAUAUAUAACUAGAUAAAUAGAAAAAUAAAUAGAUUAGUAUAAUAAAUAGACAAAUGGAUUAAUAAUGGGUAAUUUAAUAAAAGAGACAAAUGGAUUAAUAAUGGGUAAUUUAAUAAAAGUCAUAUAUAAAUUGUUAUAACAUGAUGAUAAAUUGAUGAGGAAAUAGACAAAUGGAUAAUUUAAUAAAGACAUAGAAAAAGUAAAUAGAUAAACCAAUAUAUAUAUAUAUAUAUAUUAUAUGUUCAUAAAUAGAAAAAUAAAUAGAUGGGUAAAUAAGCAUGAUGGAAUAAUGGAUAAUUUAAUAAGACAUGGCAUAAAAGCAAAUAUAUAUAACUAGAUAAAUAGAAAAAUAAAUAGAUGAGUAUAAUAAAUAGACAAAUGGAUUAAUAAUGGGUAAUUUAAUAAAAGUCAUAUAUAAAUUGUUAUAACAUGAUGAUAAAUAGAUGAGUAAAUAGACAAAUGGAUAAUUUAAUAAAGACAUAGAAAAAGUAAAAAGAUAAACCAAUAAAUAUAUGGGGUAAAUAAACAGAUGGAUAAUAAUGGAUAAUUUAAUAAGACAUGGCAUAAAAAAGCAAAUAUAUAAUAACUAUAGAUGAGUAAAAUAAAUAGACAAAUGGAUUAAUAAUGGGUAAUUUAAUAAAAGACAUGUAUCAAUUGUUAUAACAUGAUGAUAAAUAGAUGAGUAAAUAGACAAAGUAUAAUUUAAGAAAGACAUAGAAAAUGUAAAUAGAUAAACCAAAAUAUAUAUAUAUUCAUAAAUAGAAAAAUAAAUAGAUGGGUAAAUAAACAGAUGGAUAAUAAUGGAUAAUUUAAUAAAUAUAUAUAGCUAUAGAUAAAUAGAAAAAUAAAUAGAUGAAUAUAAUGGAUGAUUUAAUAAAUAAAUAAAUAUAUUUAUGCUAAAGCAUGCUGAUAAAUAGAAAAAUAGCUGAAUAAAAUAGACUGGAUAAUAAUGAUAACUUAAUAAAGCACUGGCAAAAUAAUAUAUUUAAAUAGAAAAAUAAAACAUGGAUAAUUUAAGACAUAGGUUAAAAGUAAAAUAUAGCUGAUAAAUAGAUGAGUAAAUAGACAAAUAGAUAAUUUAAUAACAGGUAAAAAGAAAAUAGAUAAAUAGAUAUGCUGAAAAAUAGAAAAGUAAAUGAUGAGUUAAAACUAAAUAAUUUAAUAAAGACAUGUUAUAAAAGCAAAUAUGUAAAAUAGAAAAAUAAAUAGAUGAGUAAAUAGAUAAUAAAGAUAUAGGAAAAAAAGUAAAUGAUAUAUGCUGAUAAAUAGAAAAAUAAGUAGAUGAUUUAAUAGAUAUUUUAAUAAAAAAGCAAAUAUUAUAUAGUUAAAUAGAUAAUAGAUGAUAAAUAGAAAAUGGAAAAUUUAAUAAAAGUAUAGGUAAAAUUUAUAAAUAAAUAUAUAUAGCUAAAUAUGCUGAUAAAUAAAAAAAUAGAUGACAAAUGGAUAAUAAUGAAUAAUUUUAAUAAAGACAUGGAUAAAGUAAAUAUAUAGUUAAAUAGAAAAAUAAAUAGAUUCUGGGUGAUAAAUAAUGGAUAAAUUUAAUAAAUACAUGGAUAAAAAGUAAAUAAAUAUUAAUUAAUAAAUAGAUAAGUAAAUAGACAAAUGGAUAAUAAAUGGAUAAUUUAAUAAAGACAUGGAUUAAACAAGUAAAUAUAUUAAAUAGAUAAUAUGCUGAUAAAUAGAAAAAUAAAUAGAUGGGUAAAUAGACAAAUGGAUAAUUUAAUAAAUGCAUAGAUUAAAAUUAUACAUAAAUAUAUAUAAAAUAUAUAUUGUUAAUAUUAUUAAUAAUAUUGUUAAAUAUAUAUGCUGAUAAAUAGAAAAAUGGACAAAUGGAUAAUAAUUACCUAUAAUUCUAUGAUAUCUUUAUUAAAUUAUCACUAUAUAGCUUAAUAUAAAUAAAAUAUAUAGCUUAAUAUGCUGAUAAAUAGAAAAGUCAAAUAGAUGGGUAAAUAGACAAUGGCUAAAAUUGAUACAUGUAGUUAAAUAUAUAACAUGAUAAAGAAUAAUAAAUGAGUAAAAUAGACAAAUAAAUUAAUAAUUUAAAUAAGUAAAUAGGAAAAUGGAUAAUGAUAUGAUAAAGCAUAGGUCAAGUAAAUAAAAUAUAGUAAAAUAGAUAUAUGCUGAUAAAUAGAAAAAUAAAUAGGUAGGUAGGCAAAUGGAUAAUAAUGGGUAAUUUAAUAUAGACAUAGAUAUAAAGUAAAUAAACAGUUAAAUAGAAAAUAUGCUGAAUGAAGUAAAUAGACAGACAUAAUAAUGGAUAAUUUAAUAAAGACUGGAUAAAAUUGUAAAUAUAGUUAAAUAGAUAAUAUGCUGAUAAUUAGAAAAACAAAUAGAUGAGUUAAGUAGACAUAGCUAUAUAAGUAAAUAAAUAUAUAGUUAGAUUGUAUGAUAAUUAGAAAAAUAAAUAGAUGAGUAAAUAGAUAAAUGGAUAUCAUUGAAUAAAUAUGUAAGUAGUUAAUAAAUGUACUGAAAAAUAGAUACAUGUAUAAACAUAGAAAAGAAUAAAUUGUGUAAAUAGAAAUAAAUUCACCUAAGUAGAAAAAAAUAUGAAAAUAAAUAUAAUUAAAGAAGAAAAUAUAAAUGCAUAAACAUAAUAAAUGUAUAUAAAAAUAAUGAAUCAAAACAUUGAAAAAUAAUAGAUAUACAAUUCAUAGAUUUAUAUAAAGAUAAGUCUAUUAAUAAAUUCAUAUUUGAAUAGAAAAAUAAUUCCUUAAAUAUAUCUAGCUAAUAUAAAUACACAAAUGAAUAAAAAAGAGCCAAAUAGAUAAUACUUGAAUAAUUCAAUAAAUAGCAAAUAUAUAUAAUUUAUAUAUACAAAAUAUACAUUAUACAUAAAAGUGUAUAAAUGAACAAAUAAUAAAUAUAAAAAGAUAUAGAUAAAUAGAAAAAUAAAACCAUUGAUAAAUGUAAAUCAACAUGGAUAAAUACAUAAAUUGAUUAAAUAUAUUGAUAUAUAUAAAUUAAUUCCUAAAUGAAUAGAACAAAUUAAUAAAUUCCUAAAUGAAUAGAAAAAUACAUCACAAAUUAAUAAAUUCCUAAAUGAAUAGAAAAAUACAUCUUUAUAUAAACAAAUUAAAUACCAAAUAGAGAGAAAUCCAUAAAUAGAGUAAUAAUACAUAAACAAAGAAAAAUGUAAAUUAAUUAAAAAUAAAACAAUGUAAAAUUGCAAAGUAAAUAUAAAUAAUAAAGAUAAUUACACAUUAUAUAUACAUAACAGUUAAAUAGACAAAUGGAUAAAUAGUUAAAGAAUUUAAACACAUAAGUAUGGAUGUAUUGAAAAUGGAUGUAUUGAAAAUUGUGUACAUAAAUACAUAGAAAAAUAAAAAUAAAUCUGAACCUAUAUAGAAAGAGGUAAUAUAUAUAAGAACAUAAUAGAUCAAUAUACUAGUAGAGAAAUGUAUAAAUAUAUAAAUAGGCAAAAUACAUGGAUAAUAUCUAUGUACAAAGAUUUAAAAAUACAUAAAUUGUAAACAGAAAUCAUUAAAUUUAUAGAAAAAUGAACAAAUGCACUAAUAAAUAGAUAAAAUACAUAAAUAUAAAUUAAUAAAUGAUUGAUUUCUAUUUCUAAUAUGUCUGGAAUCUUUUGCUUAAUCAGAUUCCAUAUAUCUGAGUUACAGAGACAUUAAAAGCCAAGGCACACUUUGUGGUAGAUAGUGCCCUAAAUCCCAAGCUAGCAUACCUUGGGAGAAUCCAACCAGUUAUGACAGUCACCAACUUGGUAUGUGGAUCAAGAGGGAAGGAAGAGAAGAGGGUAGAGGAGAGAGUGGAAGAAAAGAGAAAAGAAAGAGGGAAGAGGAAGGGGGGAGGAAUCCCCAUAGGAUCAUGCAUUUGAGGCCAUCUAUUCCAACCUUCAAAAUAAAGCUGAAGCCCAGGAAAGGUCAAUGAAUACCACACAGGCAACAAAGAUCAAAGAUGGGGUUGGAACCCAAAAGGUCUACUCUUUCCACUUGGGAGGAGGAAGAUGAGAAAGGAUGAUUGGGGGAAUUUGAAGGGAGAGUAGGGGAAAGAAGGGAUGGAGGAGAGGAAAAGAUACCAGAAGAAUAUUUUGGGCUUUUGGCAAGAAGAAGAGAGGGAAAGAGGAAAGAGGCAGGAAGGUGGGAACUACAGAAAAGGGAGGAGGGCUACAAAGGAGCUGGAGAGACAAUGGAAUCUAAGGCUAAGGAGAGGACUUGGGCAGGAGAGGAAAGAAGAAGGGGAGGACCAGGUAGAGAAAGAAGAGAGCCUGGGAGCAAGAGGAUGAGACUAUGUGGAGAAGGAAGGGUUCUGAGGUUUCCUUUUCUUUCUGAGUUGCAGUGUGAGAGAGGAAAGGAGAGUUAAGCAUUACUUGGAGGAGGCUGAAAAGGAUAGUGAUCUAAAGAAUCUGGCCAGGUGAGCAAACAGAGCCAUCCUAGAUCACACAGACAUCGAGUGGCAGAGCCACAGGUCCUAUGAUUCCUAAAGUAGCACAUUGUUGUUGAAGAUGACAUCAUUAUUUCCAAGAAAAUGAAGCUGAAGCCCAUGAAAGUUCAGUAUCAAGUAUCACAGGUUAAUGAAGCUCCAAGAUGGCACUGGAACCCAGGUCCUCUGUCUCCCAAGGCUCUUUCUACCACAGAAGGCAUCAUGGGACCAUAUCCUGUUGGCCCCAAAAGGAGGCUCUUGAGGUGUCCUGUCCAACUUCCUUGUUUUACCAAGGAGAAAACUGGAGCCUGAAGGAGCCAAGCAAAAAGACAAGAGGAGACUCUGAAGAGCUGAUCGAUCAUUGGAUAAGGCAGGAAAUGGCCCAAAGUGGCUGGGAAGUGAACCGAUGAGCCAGAGAACAUCUAGAGAAGGAUGACCAGAAUGCUUUUGAACUUCAUGAAUGUGAGGACCCUUUCCAUCGUCAAAGAUCACAACCGCCCCAGAAGAUGGUCUGCUUGAGUAGACAUGGCCAAAAAUAUUCAUCCUCCAGUAGCCAGCCUCCUGGGAAUAAGCUUUCACAAACCAAGUCGAUCCCUUGAACUUUAGUCCGUUGGUUGGCCCACACAUAAAUUCUUUCCAUCUUGGUAGAUCUUGACAUGGUUUAGCAUGUAUGUUCUUCUAGCAUCUAGGAGGAUGCCAGUGGGAAGAUUAUUAUGUAAUGCCUCAUGGUUCCACUGACUAUGACAAAGAACAUGCAGGUAUGUGAUUGCCCUAAAGAACAUGAAAGAUUUAGAGGUUUAAAGGAACACAAACAGUGAUAGAACCAAGUCUCUUUUGUUGAGUAUCCUGGAGACAAGGGAUACGGAACACACACACACACACACACACACACACACACACACACACACACACAACUGGUUCAGAGUUUGAUAACCCUUGACUUGGCUUCACGAGACUGGACAAGAUGAUUUCUCGUAAUUGAUCCAACAUUGAUGCUAUUCCAGCUGACCGUGCUGCUAACAGCAUGCUCCUUUUGUCAUUGUGUAUUAAUAAACCUUGAUUCAGUGCCUCCUGUAUGCCCAGUGCCAUGCUGAGUCCUACAAGGGACCACAUAGAUAUGGGGCAUCUUUGAGGAUUAUAUAGUCUUUUUCAGGGUGGCUUUGGAGGAGGACUAAGAGAUACCUCUAUAAUAUUUCGUGUAUAGCCACUUCUCUCCUUUCUCACAGCCACUAUCCUCAUUCAGGUACCUAUCACAUCUGGCCUCAACUAAUACAAAAGCUCCCUAACUAAACUCCUGGCAUGCAGUCUUGCCUGGCCUCUCUGGGGCUACUUUCUCUCUUCUCCUAUCCAUUCUCCACAUAGUUAACAAGUUCAUCCUUCUAAUGCCCAGGUAUAAUCAUGUGUCUCCCAUGCUCCAGUACCUUCAGGGAAUGCCUUAUUGCUUCUAGAGUAAAAUAUAAACACCUUAGCCUGGUGCUGAAAGCCCUACUGCAAUUAGAACCAACUCUCUACUCUUCUUCAGCAGUCACAGGUCUACUUGCUGUUUUGAGCCCAUUUAAUUCGAUCUCCUGCCUCCAUGGCUUUGCCCAGGCUCCCCCUAUUCCUGCAAUGGUAUCUCUGCUCACUUUUACCUCUUGAGAUCUCCAGUUUUUGGUGGGGUUUAACUAAUGGGCCAUCUCCACCACAAGGGCUUUCCCGAUCUCCCCAGUGCUCAUGACCUUCAUACACAAUUACAUCACAUAUCAUCUGCAUAUGCACAUCUUUGUGAAAAUGGUUUCAUCUAAGGGCUGAGACUGCAUCAUCUUCCUCUACAUGUGCCAAGCUUUUAACAUAGUUCCUUUUCUCACAGCAGACACAAAGUAAACACUUGUUUGAACUGAAUAUGAGACAAAGUAUACAUGGCAGCUACUCUGUCUGUAUAUAGGAGUAUACUUGGUCAUGGAGGAGAGAGGGCUUAGAUAAGCUGCCAUGAUCCUUGCUUUCAGUGAGCUCACAAUCUAACGGGGAAAAGAUGCAUUCACUGCGAAGUGCAUUGGAGAGGGAUCAAACAAAGGGCUAUGUGAGGGCCAUGGGGGGUGGAGGAAGUCAUUACCUAUAAAGUAAAUAAGAAAGAAUUUGUGGAGGAGGUGGCAAGAGAGCGAUUUGGACUGGAGAAAUGGGGGAAAGCCUUGUUGACCAGAUCUGACUUCAGGGUUUAUUUAGAAGAGCAAAGAGAAAGGUGAACACUGUGCAAGGGGCAUACCGUGUGCAAAGAGAGGUGUGUGGUAGGGGUGAAGAAAUGUUGAGAAAAAUGUGUCCUGUUCUACUGAAAUCCUACUAAAGUACUUCAUUGUGGAAUUGGGAUGACCCUAGACUCUUGGGACACACACUCUAACAGGACCUUCCAAGUUGGAAAGACUUCAAGUAAAAGUCAGUCAGGAGACUACCAUACUGUAGUGAAAGGUUUAUACUGGGAAACUAUAGCAGAUAAGGUGGGAUGGUUUAGUGGAAGAAGCACUGGACUGUAAGAAGACCUCACUUCUAGUCCUGGUUCUGCCAUCUGGGUGAUCUGAGAGUAGUUGUUUCUCUAAACUUUGAUUUUCUGCUCUCUAAGAUGAAAAUAAGAAAUGGCUAAAUCAAGAAGUGAAAGGAACUUCUAUGGCCAUAAAGGUCAAAUACCUAAUUUUUAAGAUGAUGAAAUUGAAACUCAGAAGAGUAAAUAGAAUUGCACAGGUACUCAGGUAGAAUUUGAAUCCAGGUCCUCUGUCUUCAGGAACAACUUUUUUUCCAGUGGAUUCUACUACAAUAGUACACAUUAUACAUUAUCUCUUUUACUGAGUAGUUGUGAAGCUCAAAUAAGAUUAUGUAUGUGAGAAUGCUUUAUAUGGCAAGUACCAUAAUUGUUAUGAAAUAGUUUUUUCUGCAAUUUAGUCUAGCCUUUCUAAAUGCUGGGUGUACCCUUAUUUGGGGUACUACAUUAGUCUUGAAAAUGAAACUCUUCUAGGCUGCAUCACAGACAAUGACAAAUCUCUGGCAUGCAAGGCUCAAAAUGGCAAAAAUGAGAGAGAAACCAAUUUAAUAGGUAGUAAAAUCAUGAUCAUAUUAUAUAUGCAUAACACAUAUAAUAUAUGCAAUAAUAUACUACAUGUAUAAUUUUCCAAAGGUUAGUAGUAGCUUGAAAAACUAUUAAGUGGAGUGGAACACAGGGAAUGCUCUAGACCAGUGAUAGCAAACCUUUUAGAGACUGAGUGUCCAUACUGCAAUAUUCUAGACAGAGGAGGGAAGAAGCACUCACAUUGAGCUGCUGGGCAGAGAAAUAUCCUCACGUGCACAUGAAGAGGGGAAAGGGAGCAGCCCCCUCUGGCACACUCUGGCAUGUGUGCCAUAGAUUUGCCAACAUGGUUCUAGACUAAUUUAGUCUCCAAAAGGCUUCCAUCCUGCCUCUGAUACCACCAAGCUUUUAUACCAGGGACAGGUCACUUCUCAGGACCUCAGGUAGCUCCAGAAUCUGUAUCAAGAUCACACAAAUUUUCCCCACUGAUGAAACCAUUCACAGAGCCUUUUCACCAAUGGCUUGGCCACCAGUUGAUGAAUUUUUUUGACCAUAAUAUCUCACAAAGACCAUCUAUUAAAACCAAGAGGAGUGAUGAUCUACUAAAUGGAAGAAGUAACCAAACAGCAAAGAAAUCACAGAUCCUUGAAGGGUAAGAAAUCUUUAGAACUAUACACAGGUGAUGUCAAAAAGUAAAUAUUUUGCUUGAAGUAUAAGUUUUUUGGUUCAAUCUUCUCUGCUCAAGAAGAAUACCUAAAGAAUCGAUGGGUAAGUAUAUCAAAGUAAUGGUUUAAUCUUGAAUUAGGAAUUUUAAUAAUAGUGUCUUAAUAAAUCUCUAAAUAUAUAUGCAAAAGCUCCUUCUAGUCAUUUUAUCUUAAAAAGUGAAUUUUAUAGUCUUUUCCUGGAAAUCCUAACAGAUUUAAGAACCCAGGGGAAUAUUAAAAAUUAAGGCAUAGAAGAAAUAUGUUUUCCAAUUAUUGUUAAUAUUAAAAUCUUCUCAAGUUAAUUGACGGAAAACCCAUCACUUAAAAUGUUAUAGUUUCACAGAAGUAGCUUCAGCUCCACUGGAUGGUUAUUCACUUCAUUAGAGCAUGAGGCCAAAAUGGCAGCUUUGAUCCCUGUAAGGGCCAGCUUGUUUGCUCUGUGCUUUGGCCAUAAGUGGUAUUUCCAAGCCUGGCCAAUUAUUUCAGAUUUUCUUCGUUUUGGUCUUUCUAUUUCAAGCCUGUUUCCAUUCUGAUAGAACCUCUAUAUAGGUACCAAAGUGAUUUUCCUAAGGCCAUUCUAAACAUAACAUACACCUUUCAUCCUCCUCCCUUAAUAAACUCCCAUGGCUCCCUAUGGCAUCUAGGAUCCAAUAUAAACUCCUCUGUUUGACAAUUCAAUCUCUUCAAUCUCUUAGCUUGCCUCCAACCUAUCUUUCUAGUCUUUUACUCAACUGUUCUCUUCCUCGAACCCUAUGGUCCAGCCAAACUUGCCUACAUACUUCUGCCAUACAACUGCCUGUGCCCCCCACCUUAGUGCCAUGCCAUUGGCAGCCCCCCCCCUUGCCUAGAAUGAACUUCCUUCUUAUAUCAACCUCUUGAUACUUCCAUUUUCCUUCUAGGCUUAUCUGAAGCAACACUUUUAAAAUAACUCUUACCUUCCAUCUUGGAAUCGAUUCGAAGUAUCAGUUCCAAGGCAAAAGAGAAUUAAGGGCUAGCUAGGCAAUUGGAGUUGAGUGAUUUGCCCAGGGUCACACAUCUAGGAAGAGUGUGAGGUCAGAUUUGAACCCAGGACUUCCUGAGUCCAGGCAGAGUGCACUGAGCCACCUAGCUACCCCUGAAGCAUUACUUUCUAUACAAGACCUUCCCUGGUGUCUGGAGCUACUAGUUAUUUCUUUUCCCAAACUACUGUUUUCAUCUUAUAUGUGUUUAUGUAUGUAUAUGCUGUCUCUCCUGUUAACAUGUAUGCUUCUCGAGGGCAGGGACUCUUUAUCUUUUGUUUUUAUAUCCUUGGCACUUAGCACAGUAACUGGCCUACAGUAGGCGCUUAAUAAAUGUUUGUUAAUUGUCCAAGGGAAAACUCAGUCAAAAAGGGAAAUGGGCCAAGUGAGUGAAGAUGGUUCUGUGGGGAAAACAAUUCCAAGCACACACCUGACCGAUGACCAGGCAGUUGCAAUAUCUUUGGAUUUUAAAGAUCAAGAACAAUCCCACUUUUGUAAACCAAGUUCAUGGGAGCUCUAUGAAGCACACAAAGCUUGUGACUUGGCCAGCAAGUGUAAAGAGCGAUUGGGAUCCAAGUCUUCUGGCCUCCAAGUCCAUUAUAUCAGGCCCUCUCUGUUACAAAGUGAAUACAAAAGACCAGAUUCCAUUAUGUUUCUAUAGUGUAUCUGAGUUUCCAAAGCAUUUUUAUAUCCGUUACUUCAUUGAAUUUUCCCAACCAACCUGUGAAAUAAGAACAGGAAUCCCAGCCCUGCCACUGACUACUUUUGUAAAUCAUUUAAGCAAGUCAUUUGCAAGACAUUUAAGCAACAUUUUCUCCAUUUGCAAGAUGAUGGGAUUGGAUGAAAUGUCCUCUAAGCCCCCUUCUAGUUUUAGAACCUAUGGUGAUUAUUGUCUCCAUUUUACAGAUAUGGAAAUAGGGUUGCAAAAACAUUCAGUUGUUGUUCAGCCAUUUUCAGUUGUGUUCAAUUCUUUCUGCCUCUAUUUGGAGCUUUAUUGACAAAGAUAAUGCGAUGGUUUGCUGUUCUCGUCUCCAGCAAAUUUUACAGAUGAGGCAAACAGGGUUAAGUAAUUUACGCAGAGUUAUUUGAGUUUAGGAAGGGGAGUCUUCUUGACUCCUGGCCCAGGUCUCUAUCCACUGUACCACCUGGAUGCCCCAAAAGGGCUAGAAAAGACUUAAUCAUAGCUAAUAAUUGGUGGAUGCAAGAGUGCUACACCCUACUGUCUUCUGCCUUCAAGUUCCCUGCUCUCUCCACUGUAUCACACUCCCCCUUUGUAUUGCUCAGUCUUAUUGCCCUUUAAGAUUGGAAGGUCUUCUUUAAUUGGUAUGAAAAUAACUUUAUUCGUAAACAUUACAGGCUGUGCUACCAUUUUCUAAGGUGUUAUAACCAGAGGUUUUUUAACGCCUGUGAAAAGCACUGAUCAUGUGCGUGUGUGUGUAUGUGUUGUGUGUUGAUGGCAUUGUACUCAAGAGUCAACACACAAAGCUUUCCACUGCAGCUUCUUUCUCCCCAGGAUUCAGACCUUCAAUCAGUUUUGUGUACGUUGAUUUUUCAUGUGAAGAUAUUUCGGUAUUCAACCCAUUGCUACUUCUUUCCCUGCCAACAUCCAUAGCAACAGUUACUUCUUUGGAGCUAAAAUAAGUUUGAUAUGAGAGCCUCAACUGGAGUUUUGACAGAGUUCUACCAUGAGAAAGCCAUCAGUUUUCAGCUGCUCCAGGUGAAUAUUUGCCAUAUAAAGAGGACAACUGGCCAAUUCUUUUGAUUCUCUGAGGCAUACAGUGAAGAACUCUGAACACUCGACCUGGAGGAGGAAUUCCAAGGUUCAUAUCCAGGUGGUGCCAUUUACCAGCCACGUAACCUGUAGCAGUGAUGAGAAUUUUUUUCUCAGAAUCACAGUGCUUCUGGGAUAUACUAGAGUGCUGCAGGGAGCUUGUUAUGAAGAAAGCAUUUUGUCAACCUUACAAUGCUGUAGAAAUAAUAUGCAUCAUGGCACCCCAGAGCACAAUAUGUUCAUAAUGAAGGCAUAAUCACAGUCCGUGUGAAGAAGGACUCCAGCAGCCUGAGAGUACCAAUGAUCACCAUUAAAUUUGAACAGUGAUGGCUGAGAGAAUGGAGGAAGUGCUGUUGAAGACGCUGAAGCUGGCCCCUCUGGGGGCUCCUGUCCUCUGCAAUGGCAAGGGCAUCAAUGGGGACAUCAUGGACAGGCUACAGAAAGAAAGAGAUCUCGCCUUCUGAAUGAGAGCUUAAAAUAGAAGAGUGAGCAGCUUCUCUGUCAGGCAUGUGCUACAUCUAGCAAGCUCUGCUUGACCCAUACACACACACACACGUGUGUGUGUGUGUGUGUGUGUGUGUGUGUGUGUGUGUGUGUGUGUGUGCACGCGCAUGUGUGCCUCCAGACUUGUGGAUCAGAUCAAGAGUGUGAAAAAGGAAAAAUGGUCGGGGAGGGAGGAAACUGCCCACAUACAGCUCCUAAGCCAGAUACUACCUAGAGCUGGAGGCAAGGCAGAAAGAGGGUGUCAUGGUAUAAGGUACCAGACAUGGGUAACAUGGAGAGCAUCUCAAGGGUGGUGAAGUGACUGGAGAUCAUACUAUAUGAGGAUCAGUGAGAAGAAAAGGGCCUCUUUUGUGCGCAGAAGAGAAGCCCCGAGGAGGACAUAGUCACUUUCUUGAGUAUUGGCAAGGCUGAUACAAGAAAAAAGGAAGAAACUGGUUUGGCUUGACCCCUGAAGGCAAAACUUGCAGCACUGUGUAGACGUUCAGGAAAGAUGUGAGACUCAGUAUAAGGAAAGCCUCUGUGGUGAAAUGGGCUGAGGCAUCUGAGUUACACAGCUGGUAGACUCAAAUUCAGGAAGUCCUCAGUUCAGAUCCUACCUCAGAUAAUUACCAGUUGUGUGAUCCUAGAUAAGUUACUUAGCCUUUCUCACCCUCAAUUUCUUCAGGGACAUUCAUUAGCUAUGCAGCCAUGGAUGACUUACUAAAUCCCAGUUUCUUCAUCAGUAAAAGGGGAAUAAAACACCAGGCGUACCCACAGUAUAGAAUUUCUGAGAGGUUCAGAGGAGCCAAACAUCACCAAAAUGUCAGCUUGUCUCACAGUGACUUGAUGGCGUUUUGAAAUAGAGUAGAAACAAAAAAGUGGUGGAGUCUGAAAGAACACUAUAGUGGCACUGACCUGUAACUCAGAAGACCUGAGUUCAAGUUCCCAUCUGUGGACGUGGGCAAGUCACUUUUCAUUUCAGGGAUACCUGGAGGAAAGAUUGUUGGAUUAGGCAACUUCUAAGACCUUCCCAUCUCAACUGUCCUCACUCAAGUGUUUGGGAAGCCUUGUGUGCAUUUUUGUGCAGCCUGUUCAAGGGCUUAAAUGAGCAAAGGAGCCAGGGGACUUGAACUUAAGAAUUCCCACCAUUUGAGACUAUUGACCAUGAUUUGAGAAGUCAGGGGGGGAAAAAGACAGAGUGAGAUAAUAAGAAAAAAUCACAGGAAUUGGCUUGCCUAUGAGCCUUGCCUUCAUGAUAAUAUUUUAUGGGUCUGUUAAGGUUUCUGCUGAAUGGAUUCUACUGGUCUGGUGUCUCUCUGUUUCUCCGUUUUAUCUAGAUUGAAAUAGGAGAUAGUCGAAUCUACAAAGGCCCAAUUUUGCGAUACCACAAGAUCGGAAACGUGCGUUUUGUCUGUGUCCCUGAACCCUAGCACCGAGUGGGAGGACACUUUUACUCUCUUGCAUUAAUAAUGAAUAACCCAGCAGAGAGCUUUUAAAGGUCCCAAUUGUGAAUCGUUAACGGGUACGUGCAUGGUGAAUUCCCUUUCUCAGCACACGUCUGCCUCUAGAAGGCUUUAACACCCAGCAGUAUGGAAAGGCAGUGAUGUAUUUCCUCUGAGUGCAUUAUAACUAAUCACCGAGGAGGUGCACUCUACCUCCAGAGCCAAUGGCAAGAGAACAGGACGACUUUAACCACCAGUAUUUGUCACAAAUGUCCACUGGUUCAGCUAGAGCAGCAUUUUCCAAUUUGAUGAGCCUGCUUGCUGAAGGAAGAAAACGUUCAAGAGAAUUUGACCAUGGAGUCGUGAGAAUGCACUGUCCCGGAUCUCUCCCCUAGCUGCCUUUACUAAAUAACCCCUUCCUUGGAGAUAUUCCAAGCGCCUGAAAGGCAGGCAUUGUUAUCUAUAUUCCGCAGGCAGGAAAGUGAAUCUGGGAAAGGUUCAGUGACAUUAUCAAAGACAUUAUAGCAAGUCCGGCCGGACUCACUUCCCCACAAUGAUGCUCUGACUUGUUCGCCACAUCUGGACAUUCUUGAAAACUCUUCUCCAAAGAAACCUUGAGGCUUUUCUUUCCCCCAUUUACUUUCUAAGGAGGCAGAUGUUUCUGCAGGGAACAUCAAAGGCUAGAAUGCAGAUUCUGAACUCUGAAUCACAGUUCAUUAAAGGGAUAUGCUCUGAGACGUUUCCAAACUUUUUCAGAUGAGGCUAUCACAUAACCUGACUUUAGAGAAGUUUCCUGAAUUGCUCAAUUGUCCCUACACUGGCCAAGACCUGAGUCCAUUGUCUUUACUUAUCCCCACUUUGUGGCGUCUUCAUUCUUUAGUUCAUGUGUUCAUUCACAAACAUUAAUAAGGACCUACUACAAAUUCCUUAGCUAGGCAUUCAAGGCCCUUUCCACAAACUAGAUGUUGCAUCUAUUUGCAUACAUUUGUAUAAGCGGUUCCACAUUCCUGGAGUGUAUUCCCUUGGUAUAUCUGCCUCUCUGAAUUUCUGUCUUCCUUCUAGGUUCAGAUCCGAUUCUACAAUCACCUUGAAGUCCACUCUGAUCUCCCCAGUGCAAGUUGGUUCUCUAUCCCUCUUGAGUCCCUCUUGCAUCCUAGCUGUUUUUAGACACAUUGUGUCUCCCAAUAGCUAUUGAGGCAGUGUAGCGGAGUAGACAGAGCACUGGAUUUGGAGGCUGGAAGACUCAAGUUGUUUGAAUCUUGUCUCACACACAUAAGAAAUAUGUGACCCUGGGCUUCUUUGAGUUCCUGUUUCCUCAUCUGCGAAAUGGGAUUAGGGAUAGCUGUGAUGCCUUUGUCCCAAGCUUGUUGUGAGGUUUAGAUAAGAUCCAUUCUUACAUAAACUUUAAAGCUAUUGAAAGUGAGCUCUGAUGAACAUAAGUUCCUGGAAGACGGAGCCCAGUUUUCAUUUUGUCUUUUGACAGCCUCCAGUGUAGAGAGAGUGAGAACACAAUAAAGUUUGUCCAGUUGAA